AAUUAUUAAAUUAAAAUAUUAUGUUUGUUGGACCUAAUUUUUUGCCCGGCCCAAAAACUGUUAAAACCCAAAUACGAAACAAAACACAAGCCCACAUAAAACCUAGCUCAAAUACCAAUAAAACAAAAAAGGAAAUGAGAAACCCAAGCAUCAGGGAAGCCAGCGCCGCAAGCCUGAAUCCGAGUCGUGCGCCACACCACCACCCCGCAAUCUCCGCUUGGCACCAGCAAGCACGCAACAAGUAGUUAGAAAUUAGGCUAUAUAAACUCGUUUAAACAGUGUAAUUUUUUUUAGGUUUUUUGGAUUUAAAAAAGAGAAUAUACGAACAAAUACCACAAGUUACAGAGGAAAAUUGCAGAGAAAUUGAUUGUUAGGUGAUUUUCUUUCAGAUCUCACACCUUUUAAGUUUCGAUUUGUUUUUCUUUCUCAAAAAUAGUACUAGAAAGGGGAAAAGUGAAUACACUUACCGCGUGUUUUAAAACGGGGUUGAGACCCCUAUUGCGUGAUGUCGGCCACUAGAUCUGGUGGUGGUCCGGCGAUGAUGGGCGCGUUCACUGGUCCUAGCAGAGGGAAGAAGGGUGAAAGCCCCUUUGUUUUUUUUUCAGUUUCGGUAAAUGGGGUGUUCUAAUUUUGCUUUAGAAAAUGGCAGACAACCCUUUGGUUUUUCUGGUUUUAAUUGCAAAAGGAAUAGCGCCACUUUACUCUUUUGGGUUUAUUGUGUUUUUGAUCCUUCUGUGAUUUCUAUCUUUUCAAUGUUAUAUAUUUGUUUUUUCAAACUUGUCCCAAAUUUCUGUUUUAGGCCGAUUUUAGUCCUUUCUUAGCCAUUUGGCUUACUUUAUUAUUAAAUUAGUUAUUGUAUUGACAUUGUUAAUUAUCAUGUUGUUAAAUUAAUCAACUUUGUACAAUUUUUAUAACAUUAAGUUUUUAUUUACUACUAUGACUUUAUUAUUUUAUCACUUUUUUAGUAUUGUUACGUUUUACUAUAUUAUUAUAACUUAUUUAAUAGAUAUUCUCAGCAUUCUUUUAUCCAAUAUUUUUAUUUCUUUAAAACCUAUUACUAAGCUUACUAAUAUAUAUAUAUAUAUAUUACUUUCAUGUUUUUAUAUAAUUACAGUUAGAUCUACUAUUAUUAUUACCAUUUACCUAUUUCAUUUUAUGUUUUCUUUAUUAGUUUCAUUUAUUUUUUUCCCUUUUAUUAUUCUAUUAUCUAUUAGUCUCUCUUUUAAAACUCGUUUUAAACAAGUCAUUUUGCAUUAUUAGUUUGAUUUUUAUAUUGUUAAUUUGUUUUAUCCCUCCAUAUGUAUAUAUAUUAUUGUUUUCACAUUAUUAUUUUUUUUUAUAGAUUCUUUCUUUUUCUCUCUCUCUCUCUCUAUAUAUGUUUUAUUAUUGAUUCCAUAUUAUUCUACUUGUAUAUUGUGUAUUAUUAUUUGUUUACUUUUUAAAUUAUUUUUCUUAAUUGUACGUAUAUAGCUAUUUUUUUUUUAAAGAUCCCGUUUUUUAAAUUAUACUUUGUUUAUUUCAACUAUUUUCUUAUUAUUAAUAUGUAUAUUAUUAGGAAUCCUUUUUCCUAUUAUCUUCCGUUUUAUAUAUUUAUAUAAUUGUUUUAUUUCUUUUGUUUAUAACAUUAUUAACAUGUUACCACUACCAUUUUAUUAUUUGUCAUUAAACCUUCUUUUUUGCUACUAUGUUUUAUUGUUAAUAUACAUCGUUUAGUUUAUUAUGGUAAUGUUAUUUGCAUAUGACAUACCAUUAUUUUCGUUUUUAAAAUUUAAUGGCCCAAAUUCAUUUAUUCAUAGAUUUAUUCUCAAUUGUUUUAAAAUAAGGGCAAUGUUCGGUAUUUAAAGAAUUCAAAGGAUCGUGCCCUAAUGUACUGUGUUUUGCUUUCUUUGUUUAUCUUGGAUAUUCGAAUAUCCUCUUAAAGCUAAAACGCACGUUUUAAAAGCAAGAUCACAUUUGAGGGUCAAAAAUGUUGUGUCCUAAUGUACUGGAUGUAAUGUUUUACCUCAAGACGAGAUGCUCUUUAAUACACAUUUGACUUAUCUAAAUGUUUUAAAAGCCAAUAAAAGAGGAUCGCAUUUUGAACUCUGUCCGAAUCUUUAAUUUUCGAUAUUUAAGACACUAAUUAAUCGAUUAAGUACCAAUUUUGGGCGUAUCGAGAGUGCUAAUCCUUCCUCGUACGUAACCGAGUCUUGAACCCAUUUUCUUAAAAUUCGUGGACCAAAAUGUUUUAUAAAGUGGCCCAAUUACACCUCAAAAAAAGGAUUGGUGACGACUCUCAACUUUCGGUUUCAAAAGUCGAUUCCCGUUUUUCAAAAAAUGGUUUCGACAAUGUUAUUAUAUAUUUUAUAUUAUUAUUAAAUUUAAAAUUUAUAGAUUUAAUAAUUAUUAAUUUUAUAAAAUAUAAUUAUAGUAUUAAAAAUAUUUUAUAAUCAAUUAAUUAUUUUUAAAAAUUAUUUCACUUCAUAAUUUAACAUAAAAAUUUAUUAUUCUAUUAAUAAAAUUUUAAUAUAAAAAUCUAAAGCUUAUGAACACAUUUUUAUAAAAUAAAUAAUUUCCAUUUGUUUUAUUUUAUUUUUUGUAAUAUAAUAAAAUUAUAUUAGUUAUUAAUGUUUAUUAUGGAUGUUUAGUUAUAAAUUCUGUCUUUUUCGGGAUUUGGGUCUGAUUUAUUUAAAAUUCGAGACAAAUCGAUAUGAGACUUUGAUUAUUACAUGUUCAAGCUUUCUCGAGCUUUAGUUUUAUCGAGUUCAAAUUUUUUUGAUCUCAAAUUUUCUCGAACUCAAAUCUAUUAUAUUUUUGGUGCUUUCUCAGACAUAAAUCAUUACAACCUUAAAUCAAUAGGUGCAGGCUUUGGGGGUUAAACCUAUUUUACAAACUCUAAUUUUGAGGGUCAAAAUAAAAUUUUUUAGAAUUAUAUUAAACUUGGAAAAAACCAAAAAACAAAAAUAAAUAAAUUUUUUUAGAAUUAUAUUAAACUUGAUAUAACUUUUGAUUUAGGAAGGAUUUGAUUUAGUUUGAUUCAAGAAAGAAAAAUUUAUGAUAUUUGAAUUUUGAAAAUUUCAGUUCUAAAAUUACUUUCAAAUCCUUGUAUAAAAUUGAGUUGGGUUUGCUCAAACCCAAAACCAUACUUUUUAUCGGAUAUCCAAAUAAAGAAUUUGAAUUUGAAACAAGGCAUUAAGUACUUUCACUUUUAAAUAUUGCUUUAUAAGUCCUCUAAUUAUUGAUAAAAAUUUAAAAUCAUCCUCCAAUGUAAUUAUAUUUUUUAAAUUUCAAUUUUAGUCCUUCUGGGUUUUUUUUUUUAAAAUUUUCAUUUAAGGACUUAUGCAAAUGUUUACACUUUCCUUAGUCCUUUAAAUUUCAACCUGAUUUAAAUAUGUAAUUGCAGCGGUUUUAAAAAGAUAUAGAAAUUUAAAAAAAAAAGAAAAGAAGGUAUAACUAUUACAGAUUAAUACGAAAAUAAAUUUUUCCUAACACAGUUAACAUAUUGUUGUUAAUUAUAUAUAAAAGUCUGCAAUAUCGUUUAGAAAAACAACUAUAAACUUUAAAUAUUGACAAACGAACAUAAACAAUAUAUAAAUAUUAACUGUACGAUUAAGCUACACAUUAAUACCAUAUUCCAGUUUACAUUUGGUAGGGAAAGAAAGUGGUAAAUACAUAGCUUCAAUAUCCAAUUUACAUUUUGAAAUAUAAUUUCUUUAGACAAACAUAUUUAGUAAUUGACACAACUUUUUUCUUUAAACAAUUCACAAUAUUUUUACAACAAAAUUAAGCUAUAACACAACAGCGUACCAAUUCGUGAAUUGAAUCAAAUGGGCCCUUUAAGAGCCCAUGAAAUAGGCGAAAGUAUCCGAUAAAAAUGACAGGGAUAUUUUUUUUUUAGUAAAAACAGAUAAAUCUGUAAUCUGCGGCUUGGUAAAACCUUCCCCUCCACCCACUAUCCAUCUUGAAAUCGAGUUUUGCCUCCUUGCCCACCAAACCACCAAUUUCCUCCAAAAUUCGACACUUAUAAAGAAAUCCCAGCAAUCCAGGUAACCGUAUCCAAGCCAUGACAGUAAUGGGAAGGGUUAAAAAGGAUUAAAGUCCAAAGUUCACAGGUGGACCGUAAAGUAUCACCCAAAAAUAAUCCACGACUCCUGGGUAAGCACCUUCUCGUAAUCUUCCCUAAUCAGAAAUUUAACCAAAAAGUAUCCAUUCUUGACAUUCAUAAGAUGAAACGUAUGGGAGGGUUUCCAAAGACUAUAGAUUCUGUUAUGUCCUAAUAAUUUCACCACCACCGCGAUCGCCAUAUCCCUUACCAGAAUAUUUUGUAUCCUCUCGAAGAAGUUUAUCGCAUGUAUCCCAUUAACAAUGGACCUUGUGAUAUCUCUCUCUAUGAAAUCCAAAUCCUCUUUAUAGACAGAAUCAGAAUAACCCCUCCCCAACACUUUAUCCCUCCAGGACACCGCUAGCACUGAAGGUAAAUCUAUGGCCAUGUCUUUGCCCGUAUUUGCUUCCAAACCCUUAAACCGAACUUUCUUGGUGUUACAAUCCUCAUUCAAGGUAUUGCCACCACCAGUCUCCACCAUUAUUGGAUAUUAUAUUUAAAGAGUGGUUGAAUUAACCAAUUGAGUUUUAGCUUCUUUCAUCUUUGAUUUUCUUUGGUAAUUAGGAUAGGACGAUUAUUGAGUAUGACUGUAAAUAUAUUAUUGUUAGCUUGAGGAAUCAAUCUCAAUGUCAUUAAUCCAAGAACAUAUUUCACCUAUGCUUCACUCCUUUUCUAACGUUUGUUAUUCUUUUUAACAAAAUAUUUAUUCAAAUUUAAAAUAUAUUUAUGUCAUUAAACUAAAAAAAAUCAAUAAUUACAUAUUUCUUUCUUUUAUUUUUUGUGUUAGUAUUUGGUACACUGACAAUAUUUUUUUUAUAUUUCAAAAAUAACCUUAAAAAAUUAUCAUUUGUCUCUUUUUUUUUAAAAUAUUUUACUAUACUCUUAUAGAACACUUGUUAACCCGCUAACCUUUCUUGUGGAGUCUAAAAACUCUACUAGUAGUAUACCAAAUAUUUUUCCUUAUUUUUUAUGGUACAAGUAAUUAAAUUAUAAAGAAAAAAAAAAGAAUCUUGAAUUUAAUACCAAUUAAACUUCAACUAAUGAAAAUUUUAUCAAUAAACCAAUAGCGAGAUUAGCUCUUUCUUUUAAUUUAACACUAGUUAUUAUUUAACAAAGUAAUGUUAGCCCACCCUAAUCCAAAAAGUGCAUCUUAUGGUCACACUAAUUUGAAAGGCAUAUUGGCACUAAAUUUUCUUCUUUCCAGCUCUAACAUAGCUUGAUCCCACCUACCAUCAAUAAUAACAGUAAAAGAAAAAAAAAUUGAAAAUGGAGGGUGGGUCUAAAAAGUAGAAUGAGGUGUGGUCAUACGGGAUCCGAGGUUGGGAGGGUGGUGGGGCGUGUUAUCUUAGUUGGGCUUGAAACGACUAAAAUGGGAUAGCCGGGAAGGGUCCCAUUUUGUGAUUAGUGUUCGAGGCCCAUGCGCCGUUCUUUGUCCUCUGUUUGCUAGACAGUUGAAAACUUCCACACUUCUUAGGAUUUCGCAUUCUGACAUUUUCGCGCAUAUACGGCCGUUCAUUAUCCAAUCAUUGAUUAUUUUACCUCCCAGGCUUUUUUAUAAAAAUAAUCUUAAAAAAUAAAUUAAUUAUCAAAAUAACUCACCUUUUUAAUUAUGUACAAAAAUAACUCAUUUUCUACAGUAAAAAAUGGUGGAGCCAUAUGAUAUGUUACCACCACUUUGCCACGUCAGUCAAGGGUAUUAAAAAUUUAUUUUUUAGUGGAGUCAUGUUGAAUGGCGCCACCAGUAUAAAAUACUAGGAAAAUACUAAAAAAUCUGAAAAACGAGAGACUUAAAAACAAUUUUCUAUUUUUGGGUGGAGCAUUCUAAAUGGUGCCACCACCUUUCUGAUUUGUGAGGUUCUUAAAUUUUUUUUUUACUUUUUUUACUUUUUUACUUUUUCUUAUAUUUUGUCUCUUUCUUAGAUUUUUUUCUUUUUUAAGUUUUAUAUUAUUUUCUUAAUUUAUUUUACUUAUUUAAUUUAUAUUAUUAAUUUUAAAAAAUUUGUAAUAUAUAUUUAAAAUGUUUUAUAAUAUUUUUUAAAAUUUUUAAUUAUUAUUUUUAAAAAUAUUUUUUUACUUUAUAUAUAUAUUUUUGAAAUUAAUUAUUUAUAAAUUUUAAAAAUGUAUUUUUCAAAUUAAUUUUUUAUAAUUUUAAAAAAAUAAUUAAUUUUUCUUUUUUUUAGUUUUUUGAAGUCUAAUUUUUUUCUUAUUUUAUUUUGUUUAUCUAUUUUAUUUAUUUUUAUUAUACAUUUCAAAUUAAAUUUUAGAUUAGUUUUUCAUAGAUUUUGUCUUUUUCUUUAAUUUUUUUUAAGUUUUAUAUUAUUUUCUUAUUGUAUUUUGUUUAUUAGUUUUAUAAUAUUUGAAAUGUAUGUUUAAUAUAUUAUUAAUUUUACAUAGAAUUUUUAAAUUAAGAUUUUAUAAUUUUUUUGUUAUUUUAUUUUAGUUUAUUUAAUUUAUUUAUUUCUUAUUAUUAAUUUUUAAAAGUUUGUAAUGUAUAUUUGAAAUGUUCUAUAAUAUCUAUUUGUUAAAAUUUUAAAUAUCAGUUUUAGAUUUUUUUUAAAAUUCUAAAUGUAUAUUUCUCAAAUUAAUUUUUGAAAAUUAUAAAUAUUAUUUUUUAAAUAUUAACCAUUUUUUUAAUAAUAUAAAAUAUUAAAAUAAUUUAAAGAUAUGAUCUUUCAAAUUUAUUAUUUGUUUUUAUUUUUUAAUAAUAUAAAACAUUUAAAUUUUUAAAUAAAAUUUGUAUGAAAAAUUUAAAAAAUGUUAAAUAUUUUUAAAAAUAAAUAAAAAUUAUAAAUUUCAAAAUUCUAUGUAAAAUUUAAAAAAAUUUAAAAUCAUUUAAAAUAUUAAAAAAUAUUUUAAAUCAUUUUAAAUGUUUUAUAAUAUUAAAAAUAUAUUUAAUAUUUAAAAAAUAAUUUGAAAAUAUAUUUUUAAUAUUUAUAAAAAAAUAUAUUAUAAAAUAUUUUUAAAAAAUACAUUUCAAGUUUUUCAAAAUAAGUAAAAUAAAUAAGUACUUAAAAAAGAAAAAAGAAAGUCAAAACUUUUUUUUAAAAAAAAAGGCUGAAACAAAUAAGUUGGCUGUCAGACUUGAAAACUGGUGGCGCCAAAUUAUUUGGCUCCACCAAGAAAUGGCAAAAUUGCUACAGGGCCCCCUAUACUCUAAAAAAUCACAGUAUUUUGGUGGAGCCAUUCUUUAUGGCUCUACCUCUUGGUUCUCUUCUAUAUAUAGAGUGCUGUAGUUGUUGUGUUAAGUGGAAAAGUUCAAAAAAUUUGUUAAAAAUGAAUAAUGAGGUAUUUUUGGUGUAUGUUGUUUUUUAUGGUGAAAUUGUAGAAGGUGAUAUUGGCUGUGUAUUUCAAGGCCGGCAAAGGGUAGGUUUGUGAUUCAAAAAAAAUGUGAAGCUAGCAGAAAUGAAAAGGAAGAUCAGUGCGAAAAUAGUUAUCCGUUGUGGAAGGACGAUGUCCAAAUUAUUUUACAAGUUUCCAAUCUCUAUAGAUCUGUUCAAAUUUUGUGCGAUGCAACUGUUAGAUGAUGAUGACUUGGGCACUAUGAUAGAAAUAUGGUGGUCCACUGGGAGUGUGAACCCCCAACCAGUUGAAUUAUUUGCUGAGUUAGCAGACUUAGAGCCUGUUGAGAAUGUUAGCCCAAUAAGUCAACAUCGCGAAUUUGAUUUUGAUCUUAAUGUUGGAUGGACAGGCCAAUUAGAAUGCGGUAGAACGUCACAGAUACCUAAAAUUCCUAAUUAUGGUGGGAGUUCGUACAACAACCCAACCCUCGGUCCCCGUCUACAAAUACAUCAGGAGGUGAUAAUAAGCACUGAGACAAAUGUCAGAGAAAUGACCAAUAAUGGUGAAGAUUCUGAUCAAGACGUUGAAGAUUUUAGUGACCCCGAUGUUGAUGAGGUUUCAGACGAUAUCGAUGAUGAAGGCCCGGAGGAGGUUGAAGAUGUUCACGGCCCUUCAUUCUGUAACCCGAGUCAUGCUAUUAUUUUACGAAAUAAACUUGGGGGCAACAUGUUGAACGUAGAUCCAGAUGCAGCGCAUGCAUCCGAGUUCCCUGAGUACGCUGAUAUAGAACCUGCUCAUAGAUUGACGUCAAAUUCACAGUUCGACGAGUUGUUCGUUGGGCAACAGUUCAAGAACAAGGCGGAUUGUGUGUUUGCCAUCAAACAAUACAGCAUGAAGUUGUUGAUUGAUUACAAGGUUGCCAAAUCUACACCGACAUUAUACGUUGGGGAAUGUUGGAGAGCCGACGAUGAGUGUGGCUGGCGAGUUCGUACUGCAUUUAUACAGAGGAUUCAACAGUGGAAAAUACGAAAAUUAGAAGGGCGUCAUACAUGUACUGUCGCACGCAUGUCUCAAGACCACCGAAAAUUGGAUGCCAAAAGUAUUUGCAACUGCAUCAUGCCACUGGUGAAAGAUAGCCCGAUCAUUCCUAUGUCGACAUUGAUUGUAGACAUGCAAGCUCGAUUUCAAUACAGAGUGUCAUACAGGAAAGCGUGGUGGGCGAAACAAAUGGCCAUGCAACAAUUGUACGGCGACUGGGAUGAGUCAUACAAUGAACUUCAGAGUUGGAUUUCAGCAAUGGUAGAGUAUGUCCCAGGAACUGUCGUGGACUUGCAAACGUUGCCUUAUAGAGGCCCUAAUGGAAAAUUGGAACUGGGAAAAAGAGUGUUUCGUCGACUAUUCUAGACUUUCGAUCCAUGUGUUAGGGCCUUCUCCCACUGCAAACCGGUAGUGCAAGUUGAUGGAACAUGGCUUUAUGGAAAAUACACGCAGAUACUUCUGAUUGCGGUUGCACAAGACGGUAAUGGAAAUGUACUACCAAUCGCUUUUGCCAUCGUAGAGUCGAAGAACUUUGAAUCAUGGGCAAAUUUCAUUCGAAACUUACGGAGACAUGUUGUCAGGCAAGACAACAUUUACAUUAUAUCUGACAGAUCAAAGGGUCUUGUUGCUGCAAUUCGGCAAUCGGAGGUUCUGUGGAGGUCUGUCUAUUGUAUUCGUCACAUCACUGUGAACUUCUACAAUGAGUAUAAGAACAAAGACUGGCGCAAACGAAUUGUCAAUAUGGGUAAAAAUAUCGUAUUUAAAUUCGUAUUUGUAAUUAUUUCUAGUCCAUUUCUUAAUUUUAACGCAUUUUAUCGGAAUAUAUACAUAGGGUACGAGCUGGAACCACACCAAUUUAGACAUAAGUUGGCGAGGUUAGAGACUGAUAUGGCGGGCUACAAACCUUCUCUUACACAGUGGUUGAGUAGCAUAGAGCCGCGGCAAUGGGCUUAAUGUUUUGACGAGGGGUACUGUUAUGGCCAUAUGACAACUAACCUUGUUGAGGCCGUUAACUCCGUCUUAAGGCAUACGCGUCACUUGCCAAUUUCAGUUGUUUUUUCAGCCACAUUUUACAGGUUAGCAACCUUAAUGCCAAAAAUAGGGUUGAAACAAGUAAAACAGUUAGAGGCAGGACACGUGUACGUCGAAAAAAUUAGAGAUGCCAUGAAAGAUAACACUCAAAGGGCUAGGUUGAUGAAUGUAGAACUAUAUUCUCGAAAUUUGGAAACUUUUCGAGUGACAAAGUAUAUCAGUCGUCCGUCAGGGAUCCCGCUACGGUCCUAUAGAGUUGAUCUCCGAAAUAGGCGGUGUGAGUGCGGGAUGUUCCAAGCACUACAGUACCCGUGUGCACAUGUGGUUGUAGCUUGUGCUACCUAUAGUUUGAAUGUCGAACAAUAUAUCGAUAAUGUAUACACACUUGAACGUACGUUGCGUAUUUGGGUUAACAAGUUCCCUGUAUUAAGGGAUAUAUCGACAUGGGAAGUGCAAUCGCUAGCACUCGAGAUGUUGCCUACUCGGUCACUACGUAGGAGAGUCAAAGGUAGAACAACAAUAACGAGGAUUCGAAAUGACAUGGAUGUAAGAGAACAAGUUGAUCCAAAGCGUUGCACCAUAUGUAGAACAAUUGGCCACAAUUGGAGCAAAUGUCCCCAUAGAAACGUCUACACUGGCCAAUAUUCACGGUCUAAAAGAAAGUAAAUGUUGUAACUGAGGUCUGUCUAUAUUAUGAUCUUUUAGAAAUAAAGUUUGUAUUAUUUAGUGUUAAAAUUAUAUUUAAAAUUAAUAGUUGCAACUUUUAAUACUUUAAAAGAUUUUAUAAUAAAUUAAAUAAAAAAACACUAAUAUAUAAGUUGUGAAACCUUAAACCAAUACAACAAACAUCACAUAAUACUUGAAAUUUACAUAACUUAAAAUUGGAAAGAACGAGGAGUGGUAUCGUCGUUCGGGGUAUAACGGUUUACGAGCCUUCGUUGACAGGGUGGACGUUGAGAUGUAUUGUACACAUCUGAAGGAUUGGCAACUGGGUCGAUCGUGGCCUGAGGCGGGGUGGAGUACAUGUUAUUACCAAACAUAUCAACUGAUGUUGGUGGUUGCUCUAGGUCAAAUGGACUCGAACCGCCUAUAUCCGGGUGAUAUGAACUCGAACCACCCAUGUCUGGGUGAUAUGAACUUGAACCAUACAUGUCCGGGUGAUAUGAACUCGAACCACCUAUGUCCGAGUUAUAUGAACUGCUCUGGGACUCAUCACAAAAGGUGUCAACCCAUUGCUCUGAUGUGUUUAAAACUUGGUCCUCCGAGUCGGGCUCCACCAUAUGUUGAUCUUCUACCUCCACCGUAGGUUGAUUUCCACGUAUGUAGUCGUGACCUGGUACUAUCAUAAGUUGUCCACCAUAUGAAUAAACUCGCCAUUGAUUCAUGUACCACUGCAUAUAUUCAGUCGAGGGACUGAAGUCAAACAUGCAGGAGUGCAUCUUAGGCCGCCUAUCGUACCGGGUAUUCCAUAGUGCUACAUAACAUUGAUGUUCCACGCUCUAAUCUAAUGUAUGUCUCCCUGCAUGGUCUUACCGUGGACAUCAGCAAACUGUUGUGGCUCGACCGGCACAAAUUGUUUACACACUAAUUGUUGCAUAACUCGACCACCGUUGUACCACUCAACGGUUGAGAAGUUGAGCACCGGGGUGUUAAUGCACCACAUACGAGCUUCAGCGUGAACCCUCUGAGGAAUAAGGGUUGCAAUGUUUACUUCAGAAUACGACAUCCACAAGAACUGCACAAUAUAACAUAAUGAGUCAAUUCACAUCACAUACUGUAAGUGGAUAAGUUAAAUAAACGUUACUUAAACUAUAUUAAUAUAUAUUACUUUCUCUCCGGCGUACGCCUCUAUCAUUUGACGGUAAAUGAUUAAUGUCUGGCUCGCACCAAUUCCCGGAGACGUCGCCCAUCUGAAAUCGAAACAAACACGUUGGCAGUUAAACUUUGAAAAAUAUUAUCCACACUUAUGAGUCGUUAAAUGUUAAGUAUAAUUUUAUUUUUACCUAUUUAUAAGUGGCCACGAAUAUGGUUGGUGCCUAACAGCCGCUAGAAACGGCAUCCUGUAUAGAGCCUAAGACUGCAGUAGACCCAGACAACCAGCCAUAUUACUAACCCCAUGUUUUGUUGCACGACAGAGCUCACAGUAUAAUGCAACCAACACUGCAGAUCCCCAGCUGUAACUACCGGCACGAGAAAAAUCCUCCAAUAGAGGAAAGUACUUUAAGUGGACUCUAUUAGACGUGUUGUUCGGCAGAAGUACCCCCCCAAUCAGCUGCAUAAUAUAGGCUCGAGCAGCAUACAUCACCUCCUGCUCAGUGGCAGUGCUCGAUAACUGCUUAAAAUUUGCUCUCAACCAUGCUAAUGUCAAGCAUGUGAAAUUCUGUUCCCCAUCACGAGGGGACCGUCCAAGCAGUCUGUCGCAUACUACAGAAGGUUCCAACACUUUGCUUCGACCCGUGACCACAGCACCUGUAACAGCCUAAUUUUCAGUGGUGUCGGAAUAGUGAUUCGAGAUCACUAAAUUCGAAAAAUGAGUAGGAAAUAUUAUUAAUUUAGUGAGUAUAAGUUAAAUGUGAAGUUAGGAAAAAUUUUGAAAUAGUGAAAUGUACUAAAUAUAUAUAUUAAAAUAAUUAAAAUUGAAAACGAGAAUCGAGACCUCGAGAAUUUUAAAUCGAGCCAUAAAUAUUUUUAUAAAUAUUUAUGGAGUGUUAAUAAGUUAGUAUUAAAGUUUCGUCAAGAAAUUUUGAAGUACUGAUAGCUAAUUGAACAAAAAGGACUAAAUUGUAUCAAAUGCAAAAUUGUGGGAAAUGAUUAAAUAGCUUAAAUGAUAAAAGAAAGAGGGUUUAAAAGGAAAAUAGGCCCAAGGUUUAUUUGGGCUGGACAGCAAGAGCAUGAAAUCACCAAGAAAAUAAGGGGAAUUAAGGGCAAAAUUGGAAAAUUGCAAAAUUUACUUAAUAAAGCUAGGACUAAAGUGGAAUUAUCUAGAUUUCUCUUUAUUUUUCUGCAUUCUCAUCAGAAAAAACACCAUGGAAGAGUUCCCUUAAGCUGUUUUUUCAUAUUUUUACUGCAAGUAAGUUCAAUUAUUGAUUAUUUCUUGAAAUUUUUGUGUUUUUGUGACUUUUACAACUAGGUCCAUUUGUUGAAUUCAUUAGUUCUUGAUUCUAUGAAAGAAAUUGAAAGUUUCUAUGAAUAUGUGCUGGAAGUAUAUGAUGAUUUGACAUAGAAUUAGAGCUUUAAAUUGUUUAUAUGCUGAUUUUAUUGAAAGAAUUGAAUAGAAAGUGAAUGUUUGGGACCUAAAUUGUAAAAGAGUUUGAAGUUAGAGUUUUAUGUGGAAAUUCUGAAUUUCAAUAGCUAUGAAAUAACUUAUAAUGUCUAGGAAAAGUAUUAAUUGAGAAAAUUAGUUUAAUUGAGGGGUUAAUUAAGUAAGGACUGAAUUGUAUGAACUGUGAAACUUGGGGCAAAAUGAAAAUCAACAUUUUGCACUAAAACAGUUUUGGACAGCAGCAAUAGUCUAACUUUGAAAAAUCUCCAAAAAUUGUAGAAAUCUAAUUAGAGGAUGAAUAAAAUAUGAAAUUAAAGCUUAUUGAGUCUAGUUUCUUAUAGAAGAAACGGUGUAAGCAAUGGAAUUGUAAAUCAUGAGAUAUAAUAAGUUUUGUGAGACAAUGUCAGAAUGAUUUCGGGUUCCCCUAUUCUGACUUUGGAAAAUCAUAAAAAAUUGGAGAAAAAUAAUUAAGGGAUUAAAUUUAUAUGAUUAAAAUCAUUAAAGAGUCUAUUUUCAAUAGAAAUAAGCGGGAACAUCUUCCGAAUCUCGUACGAUGAGAUAAUUAAUUCUUAGUGAAAAAGGGUCGGAACUGUCAGACAGCAGAACAGGGGAAACUUUAAAGAAUAAACUGUACUUAUUGGCUAAACCAAAAAUUCUGAAAAUUUUAUGGUAAUGAUAUAAGUAAGUCUAGUUUCAGGGAAAAUUAGAGGAUCUUAAUUUCGAGUUCUGUAGCUUAAUAUAUAAAUAAUUUAGUGACUAUGAUGCAAAUGGACAGUUUUGAAUAUACAUAAGUAAAUAGUGAAAUUAUUAAUAAUGUUACUUGUUGCAUGUUAUAUAAAUUAAUGAUGUGGAAUGGAGAGGAGGAGGAGGAAAAUAUGUAUGAAUAUUCAGCUAGCAUGGCUAAUUUGUAUGUUUUAGGCUCAUGGACUAAAUUGAAUAAAAGUAAAAUUUUAUGGGAAAUUUUGUAAAAAAAAUGUUAGAAAUGACCAAUUUGCGUGAAAUGGAUUAUUUUAUUAUUUAAAUUACAAAAUUGAAUGAAAUUAUUAAUUUAGCUCAAGAUCGGGGAAAAACAUGUUUUAAGGAUUAAAUUGAAAAGUGUUGAAAUUAUGGAAAAUUCUGACAUUUUAUAGAAUUCAUAGGUUGUUAUCAAUUUGUGUGAGAAUAACGACUGGAAAUAAGGAUUAAAUUGCAAUAAUUUUAUUUUAUUUUAACCUAAGGAUGAAAUCGUCAUUAAUUAAAAGUUUAGGGGUAAAAUGAUAAUUUUGUUUAGAGCAUUAGUUGAAUGUAUUAUAACAUGAAAUAAAUGAAAACGACGAUCAAAUUUCUUUAUAAAGAUCCGGAUGACUUGAAUACGAGACUUGAACGUGGAGAAGAAAAGAUAUCGGAUUAAUGAAAUAUCUGAUAAAUGAAUCGGUAACUCCGGUAAUGCUCCGUAAGUCUAUUCCGGUGACGGAUUCGGGUUAGGGGCAUUACAGCACCGUCAACUCGUAACCCAAGUUGCAUAACGACGUCCUCUAAUGUGAUAGUGCACUCCCCGCACGGCAUAAUGAAGGUGUGGGUCUCCAUACACCACCGCUCAACCAAGGCGGAUAGUAAGUUUGGCCUCAAGUCAAACCUCCAGAUCAAUGCGACGUCCCCAAAUCCGGCCAACCGUAAGUAUGGCAUGAUCCGCUCGUCCGGAUCGUACUUGGGAAAAUGACACCGCAACCUCAAAACCCGAUAACCAUCCUGUAUGGUAAAUUUUUUAUAAAAAUAUGAUAAAUCAAUUAUCUAUAUAAUUUAAACAUAAAAAAAUAUAUUCAAGAGUAAAAUUGAAAGUUUGAAAAAAUAAAAACAUCACACUUAUAUUAUACCAACGUAACCAUUCUAAGCAUAUUUUUUUAUUUAAGUUAAAUUAAAUAAGUAAUAAUAUAUUAAUAAUAGAAUGAAAAUUUGUCAUAAAAUAUUAAUAAUAACACGUAGAAAUCAAAUGUGAUUAUUAUAUCCUAACCAUAGUUAAGCAUUAAAUUAAUUAAAAUAAAUAUAUUAAUAAUAAAAGAAUGGGAGAAAUUACAGGAAUAUGAACCGGGGACUAGUAAAAUUACAAGAAAAGAGAAAUUCAUUGAGCAGCAACUCAAAUUCCACGAGUGUAAAAAAUAAGUCCAAACCAGAAAGCAACCCAAGAGAAGAUGAUUGGUUCAAGCAAGUUCAAUUUGAUACCAAUGCCUACAAUACGUAUAUAUUUCUAAUUUUAAAAUUUUAUGAUAUCUUAUUCAAAUUUUAAAGUGAGUAAUAGCGAAAAAUUGUUUUUCAAGGAAUACUAAUAUUUUUUUAUAUGAUAAAAUUUAAAAACAUAAAGUAUUUUUUAAACAAAUACUUAUGUUUUCUAGUUAUUUAUAAAUUAACUAGUAAAUAAUCAAAUAUAUUCACUUUUAUUAUUAUUGUUUUAAUAAUAUAUAUAUUAAAAUUAAAAGAAUUUUUUUCAUAAAUCGAGCUCGUCAAGUAAUAGUUUUGCGUAUUAAUCCCUACGCACCGUCUAAUAAAUUAAGUAUAAAAUUAGUAAAAAUAGAGUAAAGUUUUAAGUAAGUCAAUUUAAGGGGUAGUUAUUUAAAAAAAAUGAAAAUAUCCUAAUUUAUUUUUAUAAUAUAUCUAUUCUAUUAUAAUUUGUGUGAUUAAAUUAGAUGUUUGGAGGUGAGUGUUACUAACUUUUUUUUAAAAGUAUACAAAUACAAUUACAAAUAAUGUAUAUCUAAAUCAAUUAUAACAAAAAUAAAGUAUUACAAAGUAUAAUCAAAUUAAUAAUCUAAAAUGUUCAACAGAAGCUAAAUAACAACUAAUUAGAGAUAAGUAUUUUAAAGCAGUCAAAACAUGUUCAACAGAGUAGCGAUUAGCAAAAAAAAAAAUGGGAAACUAAACCGAAUUUUUUUUAAUUUAUAAUAAAUUUUACUGUUUCGUCGAUCAUCGAUGAAGUGUGAUCCGUAUUUGCUCCAGAAGACAUCUUCAAAUCUGUAUAAUAUAAAAAAAAACAUACAAUACAAUUAUUUAUUAUAUUACAUUAACUAUAAAAUAUAAAACAAAAAAUAAAAUUUUAACAAACGUACUUUUUUUUUUUCCCUCACUCAACUUCUUCAUCUAUACAAGGGGGGACCAAGCCCCACCCAUAUAUAUAACAAUUUUUUUUUUAAAAACAAAACAAUAAAAAGAGUCAAAAUAAUAAAAAAUAUAUUUAAUAUAUAUUUUUAAAUUUAUAUUUAUAUUUAAAUUUAUUAAUCAUCACAUCACUGAUAUGAUGUGACAAGUUAUAAUAAAUAUAUAUAUUUUAAUUUAAACUUUAAAAUUUAAAUACAUAUAUCUAAUGUUAAAAAAAGAAUUUAAAAAUAAUAUUUAAAAUUGUAAAAAAUAUAUUAUAAAACAUUUUAAAUAUACAUUACAAAUUUUAAAAAUUAUAAUAAAAUAAAUAAACAAAAUAAAAUAAGAAAAAAACAUAAAAUUUCAAAAAAGUAAAAAAAAGGAAAAAGACAAAAUUUUAAAAAAAUAUUAAAAUAUUAUGAUUUCUUAUAUUAUUAAAAAAUUAUAAUUUUUUAAAUGUAUUUAAAAAUUGUAUUUAAAAUUUAAAAAAUAAUCUCAAAAUACAUAUCUAAAAUUUACAACUAUAUAUAUAUUAAUAAAAUAUUUCAAAUUUUUUUAAAGUUAAUAAUAAUAAUUAAACAUAAAAGAAAAAACAAAACAAUAAAAAGAGUCAAAAAAGAAAAAAAUAUAUUUAAUAUUUAUAAAAUAAUAUUUAAUAUAUUUUUUUAAAUUUAUAUUUAUAUUUAAAUUUAUUAAUAGUCACAUCACUAACAUGAUGUGACUAGUUAUAAUAAAUAUAUAUAUAUAUUAAUUUAAACUUUAAAUUUUAAAUAUAUAUACCUAAUGAUAAAAAAGAAUUUAAAAAUAAUAUCUAAAAUUGUAUGUAAAAUUAAUAAAAUAUUAAACAUACAUUUCAAAUAUUAUAAAACUAAUAAUUUCAAAACUAAUUUAAAAAAAACAUUUUUAAAAUUUAUAAAAAAUUAAUUUCACAAAUAUAUAUAUAUAAAGUUAAAAAAUAUUUUUAAAAAUAAUAAUUAAAUUUUUUAAAAAAUAUUAUAAAACAUUUUAAAUAUAUAUUACAAAUUUUUUAAAAUUAAUAAUAUAAAUUAAAUAAGCAAAAUAAAUUAAGAAAAUAAUAUAAAACUUAAAAAGAAAAAAAUCUAAGAGAGAGACAAAAUAUAAGAAAAAAAGUAAAAAAGUAAAAAAAGUAAAAAUAAUAUAAGAACCUCACAAAUGAAAAGUGGUGGCGCCAUUUAGAAUGGCUCCACCCAAAAAUAAAUUUUUUUUAAGUCCCCUGUUUUUUUAGAUUUUUUAGUAUUUCCCUAGUAUUUUAUACUGGUGGCGCCAUUCAACAUGGCUCCACCAAAAAAUAAUUUUUUAAUAUCCUUGGCUGACGUGGCAAAGUGGUGGCGCCAUAACAUAUGGCUCUACUACUUUUUACUAUAGAAAAUAGAUUAUUUUUGUACAUAAUUAAAAGGAUAGAUUAUUUUGAUAAUUAAUUUAAUUUUUAGGGUUAGUUUUAUAAAAAAAAAAAAGCCUAUCUCCCAUGAUUUUACCACUACUCUUUCCAAAUCCAAUCAUAAAUGUCAAAUGUAAGUUAUUUAUUAACUACACAUACCUUACAAAAAAGUUACUUCAAGAAUUUAUCAACGGUCUUUUAUAUUCAAAAAAUAAUAUAGAUUAUGAAUAACUUUAUACAUAAUAUAUGACUAAUAAUAAAUUUUAACUAAAUAGAUUUAACUACUAUCAUUUUAGCUAAGACUAAAAUUUUAAAAUUCAAAGACUAAAAUUAACCAAAUUAAAGUAUAGAAACUAAAUUUACAACUUAUACAUUAAACUUAAUCUAAACCCACAAAACUUGAUCUCGCUUAAACUCAACCCGAGUUUAACCUACCAAUAGAAGUUAGAUGGGUUCAACUUUUCGGACCAAGUUGGUUAAUCAACUUUUUAGACAAAUCUAUUUACUCCUAACACUAGAGAAAUUAGUUAGAAUUCUAGUUAAAUGUUAAAGAUAAUUAUAAUUCAGCCAAUGAGACUUGAUUAAGAUGGAUGCCCACGAUUUUUAAGUAUUUAAGUUUGAAUUGAAUCAUAAGAAGUUAUAAUUUGUGAGUUUCUCGUCCUAACAUGUGUAUGUUUAGAGCAGUGUUUUUGUCCAAUUCUUUUCAAUUCUCCACCCAUUAUGCUUUGUACUGGUUUGAUAUUACAUUAUAAUUGCUCAGAUAUAUAUGUAUGUAUGUACGUAUGUACAUACUUGUAUUGUAUUUGUCAUAGUGAAACUGUCAACAAAUUUUCUUUUUGAAGAAAAUUUGAUUUUUAUGAUAAUUAUUAAUUAUUUAUAUCAUUAAUAUAAAAUAUAAAAUUUUAUAUAAUUAUACAUUUUUAUUGGUUAAUUUAGAUACAAUAAAAUUUUUGUGUCAUUAUCAUUUUAAGUUGUAAGUUAAUUUCUAAAUUUCAAAAAAAUUCCAAUAAAAUAAAAUAAAAGUAAAAAAAUUUUAAAGGUUUAAAAUAUAAGGGGAAAAAAAUUCUGAACGGAUUUCUGUCCAAUAUUGGAUGGAAGCUUGCGAAACUAAUUUCGUCAGUAAUUCAUUGAAAAUAAACCUAUCUUUGACAAAACUAAGAAAAAUCAUGUAGUAGCCCAUUUCUGCCCAGGCCCAUAAUUAAAUAAAAGAAAAAAACAAUGACAAAAAUUAAAAAUAAAAGUUCGUUUAUAGUCCAUUUACAAUAAACAGGCCUCAAGGUCUGAUAAGCCCAAAACCCGUUACACUUGUGACCCAAUUGGUCUAAACUCGAUAGCCUAUACCUCGGUUUAACCCAAUACCCGUAUACAGUCUUAACCCAAAACAUGCAGGGCCUAAAUGGCCCAAUUUGUUAACGGAAGGCAGAGAGGCCUAGGGUUUCAGAAACCCUAGGCGCCACAACCAUUCUAAGCAUCACGCCCUUUCAUCUCGCGUCGUUUCAGUGGGCUUCAUUGGUGCCGUGACUCCGGGCUCGUAUCAUGCCAUAAUCAACGUGUGAAUUAACACCAGCGCGCUCGUCACCGAGAUCUCCUCGUUGAUACCUGCAAAAGAAAGAAAGAACUACGACAGAAAAGAGACAAACAAGGAAAGAAAUCGAACAGAUUCUUUCCCAAAAUGUAUCCAGAGGUUAUAAAACCUCUCUUUUUUGAUUUGUAAGAUACAUUUUUUUUUUAAACAGAAAUAUACAAACAGUUGCUACAUACACAGAGAAACAUCAACAGAUUAUAAAACAGAGGUGAAUAUUUCAUUUUUUUUGCAUGCUGGUAUCAUAAAAAUAAGAAAGGAGAAGACGAACCGUUUCUGAUCUGCGUUGAAACGGGAAGCUUUCCAGCUUCUGAUCGCCACACGUGGCGGUGUUGACGGCGGCGCGUGGGCGCGUGUGCCCGAUGACCGGGGCUUGGCCUGACGGAGGCCAGAGCCCGGAGGGCCUUUCUUCUCUCCUUUUUCAGAUGAUUUUUAAAUUUUUUUUUGAAACGGUUUCUAAAAUGAAUUUUGAAACAAAAAUUGACUUAAAUAGUGCAAUGGAUACGGUGUCGUUUUGCUUAGUAUAAUAAGCACUAAAACGGCACCGUUUAGGCCAGGAUCCGCGUGUUGACCCGUGACCCGGGGAAGAUCCGCGUGUUUUUGGAAAAUGGGCAAAUUGCCCAAUUGAUCCUUCCGUGUUUUUUAAAUUUUUAAUUUCAUUUUUAUUUUUAUUUUAAAUUGGCCUUAACUUUUUUUCGCUUAUUCCAAUUUAGUCCCAAUGGUCAUUAAAAUCUAUUCUGAGGAACGACGUCGUUUUCGGGGAUAAAGGCUAAUUGCCAAAUAAGUCCCUCUAGUUUAACGCGUCUUUCAAUUUGGCCCAAAGAAUUUAAAUUUAUUUGAAUUUAUCUAUAAUUAACCCUAAAUUUUUAAAAUUAAAUUAAAUUUAAAUUUUUUUUUGAAAUUCAAUUUAUUUUAAAUACUAUAUAUAUAUUUAUAAACAUUAGUUGUAUAUAAUAAUAUAUAAUUUCAUUAUUUAUAAUAUUAUAUACAUUUUUUUAUAAAUUUUAUUAUAUGUUAUAUUUUUAUUAUAUGUUAUUUAUUCUAUUUAUAUUUUAUUAUAUAUUGUUACUAUAUAUAUUGAUUAUUCUACUAUAUUUUUAUAUGUGAAUUUACUUAAUAUAUCAUUCUUAUUAUUUUUUUAUCAUAUAGUUAUAUCAUUAUAUAUAUGUAUUUUAUUUAUAAAUUUAUUAUAUAUCAUAUAUAUGAUUUGUAUAUUAAGCUAUUAAACCUCAUAAUAUGAUUUGUAUAUGUAUCAUUUAAAAAAAAAAAUAGAGUUCUCCUUUAUCAUUCUUAUAUUAUUCUAAAUGUUUUUAAAUAUCCUUAUUUUUAUUUUCGUUGAUGUAUUUAUAAUUAGCUUACUUAUUUUUGUUUUCUUUUAUUUUGAUAUUGUUUUAGUAGGUUAAAUUUUCAUAGAUUAUUUGUUAUUUUAUGUUAUUGUUUUUUACAUAUUCGCAUGAAAUAAAUUGCUUAUGUUAUUUUAAGUUAUAACUGCAUAAAAUAUUAUCAUAUACAUGUAUUAUGCAAUUUAUAUUGUUGAACUCAUUAUGCUCUACAUUGUAUUUUGCAUGUAACGAUAACGCAUGUAUAUUUAUGUUAUUUAUGACCAUGCAUAAAAUGAUAACGUAUAUUGUAAUUUAUACCAUUAUUCAUCAUCCUUUAUAUUAUAUAUGCAUAGAAUGUUAAAGUAAGUAUUAUGUAGGUUAAUUUAUAUUGAUCCUUGGUUAUAUGUUAAAAGCAUCAUCACUUUAAAGAAUUUUUAUAUUUCGUUCAAUCCAAAAGAACUUUAAAAUAAGGCAAUGUUUUGAUAGUUAGGGAUUCAGGAAAUAGUGCCCUAACAUGCUGGGUUGCGAUUUCCCGUCUGUCUAAAUAUCUAAAAUAUCCUUCUAAAUAAGUUUUGAAAAUUACAAGAUGAUUUUAGUUACAAAAGUUUAAAAAAUAUCGUGUCCAAUCAUGCUGAUAUGAUGUUUAUAUUCUUUUGAAGCAAUAGAAUCUUGAUUUUUUUUAACUCAAAUUAUUACAGUUUUAAAAGAGAACUUAUUUCUAAAUUUUUUCAAACUUUUGACAUUAAGACAAAACUAUUCAAUUUGGUAUCAAUUUUGGGCAUUACGAGGGUGCGAAUCCUUCAUCGUACGUAACUGAUUCCCGAACCUGUUUUCUCGUAAUUUCGUUGACCAAAAUGUUUUAUAAAGUGAUCGAAUCACACUUCAGAAGGUUGGUGGCGACUCCCAUCUUUCAAAAAUCUCAUUUUUUAAAAAAGGAGGUUUCAACAAAUCAUUUAAAAAAAACAUAUAUGUAAAUAAUAUUUAGGAUUUUUAUUGAGUUAGUGUUGCCUAUUAACGAGUUACAAUUUAGUUGUGAAUUUACUAAAAAUUCAAUAUUUAUACAAAAUAAUAAAUAUUUUUAGAGUAUUUUUGUAUUUUUAUAUUUUAUACAAAAGCUAAAAGAACAUGUAUAUGUAAGAAUUUGGACAGAUGAUAUCGUAACUGUCACUCCUUCAACUUUACCAUUUCAACAAAAGCUAUUGUUGAUACACAGUACCAACGAAAGUGGAGAAGGUGGGGGCAGUGUUGAAGGAGGUCGAUUUACCUAUUCUAGAAUCGAGAGUUAGAUAGGUAGAGGGACUCAAGAUGAAUGCUUAAUGUAUUAUGGAUUUUAGUGGAGAGGAGUCCCUGUACAAUGUUGAUACCUUUAGGUAUUUAUAGGAGAGUAAGAGUUGAUAUCCAAUUCUUCCUCUCAGUAGGUCUUAGGUGGUCGAACAGAGAGCCCAACUAGAUCUAAGUUGAGGUAAAGAUAUAACAAUAGUCUCCCUAGUCAAGAGAUAGGCUUAAAAUGACUGUGCAUUGAGACUAUCCGCAAAAUGUCUCCUUGUCUACUAGCUUGUUGCAAAUAAAAUAACAGGUGGUCAAUUAGAGUGGUUCAACCUUAUAAGGAGAAGAUCCAUCCCUAGUAAAGGGAAAGUGUGGAAGUGUGCUUCUAUUUUAAAAUUCCCAAAAACUUUAAUUUGUAAUUCGAUGAGAGGUAUAGUGAUUCUCGAGUGGCCCUCUCUUCAAGGAGGGUGUAUCCGUUAGUAACAAAUGCCUUAAUAGUGGGUUCCUACGGGUGGUUAAGGAUGGAUAGUCUUUUUCAUGGGGGCACAAGGCACGCAAGUUGUUAGUUACUAAGUGACCAUCUGGAUUGGUACAAAGUGGAUGGUUGUUCACGGCUAUUGCUUCGGUUGUUUCUCAUGUUGUUAUGUGUCCCAAUCGAGUGCUGGUAUAACAGUAGUUCCCCCUCCCCCCAAUCUAAAGGUAGGUUAUAAAGUGACCUUGCGUUGAAACCAUUUGCAGGUUACCCUUACGGAUGAUAGUUGUUGCAAAUAAGGUAAUGGGACGAAAGGUACAAUUAUAGUCCCAACAACCUGGGAAUAUACGAUUCGUUGCAAGGCUAUUGAAAUACAUGUAUACCCUUUUUAAUAACAAGUUGGCAGUUAGUAAUUUUAUUCGUAGUUGACUUGUAUAAGUUUUGCUUUGUGAUUUGGUGGGUGGUAUGCCUAUUGGCUUGACAAUCCAAAAAUUUUUAAUGUAUACUCGAGUGGUAUAGUUGUCAAUUAAAUAAUCCAAAUUUAUACAAUAGAGACGUGUCAUAUGUAUAUUAUGGAUGCAAUAAUUGGACAUGUAAAAUAAAAAAGGUUCAAGCCAUUCAUUGGCAAUAUAAAAGGUAAGGAGUGCGACUUGUUUGUUGGUAAUACAAAAUGUAAGAAAUGCAUACUAUCCAUUGGCGCAACAAAAACGUAAUAUAUGUUUGUGAUAUAAAAUUUAAGUGUUGCAAAAUCGUUCAUUUAUGAUAUAAAAUGCAAGAAGCAUAAAUCAUCCGUUGACAAUAUAAAAUGGAAUAAAUGCAAAUCGUUCAUUAGUGAUGUAAAAUGAAAUAGAAGGGAGGGAUUAAAUUAAAAAGAAAAUAAAUCUAACUUUGAUGCCUAAUAAGCAAUAUAACCAAAACUCUAAAGAGAGCCUAUAGCUCAUUGUUUAUCACUUUAUUAACUCUCUCAUACAACAAAUGAGAAAAUGCUAGCCUAUUUAUAGUUUUCCUAUGUUGGUUUAUCGUCGUCAGUUUAAUUAGAUACAUGCAUGUAUUAUUAUUUUAAUUAAAUUAUAGAUAAGCUUAAUACUAGAUAAAUAUAAUAAUAGAUGGUGAUAAACUUAAAAGUUCUCCGCAUACUCUCUCUUUUUAAAUUUAUUUAUAGAGGAGCUAUCUAUUAUCAUGGCUAAUGCAGCAAACAAAAUCCAAACCAUAUGUCUUAUAAACAUAAUGACAUAUGACAUGUAUCUAUUUCAAUUUGCAAUUACUUAUAUGAAUGAAUUUUAAGCCGCAAAAAUACCAUCAAUUUUUAAAAUAAAUUAUUUAUAUAAAUUUCAUAUUACAAGCACGACUAUCAUGCCCCUAGGCAUGAUUUAGUAAGUUAUCAAUUCCAACCAAGGCAGAUUCCAACAAUUAUAACUUUAUCUCUAUUCCAACAAUAAACUUACAUAUAAAAAAAACAUAGCAGAAUAAUCAAAACCUAAAUCAUGCAUGCUCAUUUGAUAAACUACACGAACCAACAGUAAAAAUGCACCCUAAUUAUAAGACUCAACUAUAAACAAUCUUCUUUAAAAAAAAACUAUAAACAAUCUUGCAAAGUAAAAACUACCCUUUAAUUAUAAAACAUAGGAAUAAUUAUAAAAGAUUAUUUACCAUUAUUGAAUUGGAUGAUUGGAUACUUUUUUACCCAGCCUGUGACAUCAUUUCUACUUUUGUUUAUACUUAAAAUUACUUGAAACCCAUAAGCAAUGGUGGUUUUUAUGAGCCUUCCAACAGUGCCACUAGCAACCAAUUCCUUUAUAAAUAAAGGCAUCAAUUCUACAAUAUUGCCAAAGAACGAUAAAAGUAAAUAGAUGUAACACCCGGUUUCCAACAAACCCAGAAAUUUGAAAUAAUUAGAAGACUAAAUUGAAAAAGACCGCAAGUUGGCGGCCCUUAUUGAAAGCAAACAGGAAAGCUAGAAAUGGAAUUAGACAUAGUUGAGAACCAAACCUAGUUCUAUUAGAAUAGAACCGGCCAGUUCCAUUAUGAGAGACAUAAUGAUUGAGAAUGCACGGUUCUCAUAAGGUUGGUAAUAGCGCGGGAAGGGCUAUAAAUAGCUGGGAAACGACUUCCCAGGGAUGAUUUUCUUCCUGAAUUGGUUUCAUUUUCUCUUUUUCAUUUUCUUCGAUUGUUUUGAAAGAAGAGGAGGUCGUGGAAGGUUCUACAUGGAGCAGACUCUAUGAGGAUAGAGUUGGAAAAGUAGGGAAACCAACAAGCUGGUAAGGUUCUUAUCCCUUCAGUGUAUGUAAAAGAUAAGAAAAUGAAGUUAUAGGCUUCAGAACCAUUUUAAGGGUUCUACAUGUUUAUAACCCAUUAUUUUUGGCUGAAAUGCUUAGCUACCAGGAAAACAAAAGCACUAGCGUUCGAUAAAGGUAAGCUAUAAAGCGAUUAAACUUCGGGUAAGUUCUUAAAACUCUAUAGACGUAAUGAUUUAUGUCGUUUGAGUAUGCUAUGUUUGCAUAAGCAUGAAAUAAUAUGAUAUGUGCAUGCAAUACAUGAUUGUAUUAAAAACCUGCAUGAGAUAGACGAAGUUAGGAAAGGAAAUGAAGAGUGACCCUAUUAGAUACCAUAUUGGGUGAAGCUCCGAGCCUUGCGAAGGGAAUACUGCAGUGUUCAAGCAUCAAGGUUAGGUGGUGUAAAGGAGGUAAUGAGAGAAGGAUUCGGGUAAUAUGAAUUAUAGAAAGGUAUUUACCGCGACAGCGGUAUCAACUAGUUUUUCAAGGUGACACCAUGACAAUAGUAUAUGGCGUAAGACCAUGGAUGAAAGAUGCCAUGGCGACACGGUACAAAGUAUAAGAUAUAUAGUGUAAGACCAUAAAUGAAAGAUGUUAUGGAAGCUAGGUAUGGUGAGUAAGACCAUGGAUGAAAGACUCCAUGGCAUCCACAAAAUAGUCUGUUGGGAUAGUAAACACAAAUAAAGUUUGCCUGGAUAGUAAACAUGGAAAAAGUCAGCCAAAAUACGAAAAAUGAGGUAAAAAAAGUGUAAGACCAUAGAUCGGCUACGAUGCCCCAUAGAGUCUAUCAGGAAACAAAUGUGGAAUGUCCGCCAAGACCUUAAGUAAGGGCUACACUGCCAGUGCGAUAAGUAUAAAAAACCGCACAGUUGGUAGAAGAGCUGAAGGAAAGUGGAAAGGACGAAUAUGGAAGCCAACAAGGCAUAGGUGAAAGCCCAACAAGAAUUAGAGGAAAAUAGGUCGUGUGAGAAUGGGUCUAAUUAUUGAAAUGUAAGAAAGGAAGUAGACUUUUGUAGCCUUAUGAGCAAAGGUCUGCCAGGACAAAGUCAGUUGUUCAUCAUAUGGGACAGGUGAGGUCCUAGGUUAGUCUUAUGCAUAAUGCGAGUUAUGGGAAAGUAACCCAACCACUUGUGACCUAAUAUAAGGUGAAGUCAGGGUAAAUUCGUCGAAGUGGUAAAGAUUACUAUACGUUAGCUCAAUAUGGAAAUGUCAAUAAGUCUCUCAGGAUUAUGGUAUGUAAAGAGGGAAUAUGCCAAGGACUUCUUUGAUCAUGAAAGACCAUCAAUGAAGGUAUGCCUUAAAAACCCUUGGGUGGAAAGGACGCAAAGGCUAUCGAAGAGGUACAUUAAGAUAAACAGUUGUACAACCAAGUCAAAUAAAGGUAAACAAAUACCUUGAGUAAGGCAAAGUGUAAUGAAUAAAGGAUAAGAAAAGAUAUGAUUCACUGAUAUGGAGAAGUAUCUAAGAUACAGUCAAAUGGCGAGUUUGACUAGAGGAAGGUUUUAUAGUGAGUUGAGUAGCUCAGAGAAUCAGUUGGAGUCUACCACCAUGAUAAGGAACACUCGCCUUGAGUGAGCUGAGAGUAUUUAUGUUUAUUUUAUCUCACCUUUAUUAUCUUUAUGCUAUAAUGUUCAAUUAUGUGUGACCUAGUGACUCAUUUAGUUCAUUUGAACUUACAGCAGUGUGACUAAUAUUCGUAGGACUUGUGAGGAUGAUCGAAGACUUCAAUGAGAGACCAAGCCAGAUGAAGUGGAGAUCGGAGAUCGUUGUUGGAUCAAAGUCAUGCAAAUAGGAAUAGGGUACCAUUAAAGGCUUCACCUUAGGAUCAAUCAUGGUGUAAUCAGAAGUCGUAUGUUAAGUGUUGGUUCUGAAUUAGUCAACCCUAAGUUAAGAAAACUUUAAGCGUUUCUUUGUAUAUGAAUAGUCUAAUUAAAAAUAGGAAUUAUGAAGAUAGAAACAUUUAGUGGCUUAAGGCCUUUGUUGUAGGAAUUAUUAUUGAUUUCAUUCUUAGAUUGGCUUUAUUAUAGUCUUUUUAUUGACAAUUAAGUUUACAAAAAUUAAGUAUAGGUCCAUUUGUAACGCUCCAUACCCAAAUUCGGUAGAUGGGUCGAGCUUGGGGUGUUACAAUAGAAGUAAGCAAAAAGAAAAAAGAGAUUGAUUUAUUGUAUUAAGACUGGUAUAAUGAGCAAGAAACGCCAAAAGAAUAACAUAGUAGAAAAGUUUUAUUUUUCGGCAUCCCUAUUGACUACAACAAGGAAGUAAGUUCCAUUCAUCGAUCACCUAAAAACGAACAAAAAUUCUCGAACGAUGACGAUUUUUGAACGAAUUUAGUUGAGUCAUUUCGUUGAAAAAAGGUAAAGCUCGGUCAUUCCACGCUCACCGUACCAUUUUUUAUACACGGUACCAAUGGAAGUAGAGAAAAAUAAGGGGCUUAUGUUGAAAGAAGGUAGUUCACCCAUUCUAAAGCUAAGAGUCGAAUAGGUAGAGGGACUUCGGAUGAAUGCUUAGCUUAUUAAGAUUUUUAGUAGAGAGGAUCCCCUUAAAUGUUGAUACCUUUUGGAUAUUUAUAGUAGAGUAAGAGUUCAUAUCCAAUUAUUCCUUUCAGUGGGCCCUAGGUGGCCUAAUGAAAGGCUCAACUAGGUCCAAGUUGAGGUAAGGAUAUAACAAGCAUAUUUAAUUUUUAUAUAAAUUUUCAUUUAUUUUUUACAUAAAGUUUUUAUACACAUCAUGAGUGAAUCAUAAUCUAAUAAGAAUUAUUCUCUUAUCCAUCUUCAUUGAGGAUUUUCAAUUCCGCAAGUUAGGAAACCACAUAUUAUAUUUAAAAAAAACCAUAUGAUGAUCUUAGCCACAUACAUGACAUGAACACAAAGGAUGUGGAUGCCAUUAACUCCAUUUUUUUUAGCUUUUUUUUUUUAAAAAAAGACACUUGACUAGUGCAUCUAAGGCCUUUAGCUUUAAGUUUAAACCUUUCUAAAGACAUUGGUAACCAUUGGAUGGGAUCUCUUCUAGAUGAUUAUACACUUCCUCUACUAAUUUGGCCAUCAAUGCCCCCUUACAACAGUAGCUAUACUUUGCCUAAGGUUACCCAUUAAAUCAUUAUAAUCAUUUAGAUACCUAUGAAGAUUUUUUCAAAAAUUCUUUAUACCUCAUUUAUACCUCAUAUAAAGUCCUAGAAUCAUAUUGUACAAAUAACGCGAUAUUAUUCCUAAGCAUGGUUGUUGUACUAGAACAAAACUACUUAGCAAUAAAGUAGUUAACUAGAUCAUCCAAUGUAGUUCAAGAUACUGGCAAAAAGUGGUGAAUUAGGACAAAAUUUUACAUAUUCCUAAAAAAAGAGAGGAAAUAAUCACAAUAUAAUGGCAUCCAUAAUAACACUGUGGUGUUUAAAUGCACAACAAACCUUAACAAAAUUAGCUAGAUAGGCAUUGGAAUCAUCACUAAACAAGCCACUAAAUUAUGUUGAUAUUUAGGUCAUUUGAAAAAAAAUUUCAUUUUAAUGUCAAAGGUAUUGGCUUGGAUGGUGAUAUUAUCAUAGUAGAUUAAAUUACUCCUACCAAGGGCAUUACAUAAUCCUUAAGAUAACUCUUCUUAAUAUGUUAAUCUAUCAUUGUAACUUCUAAUAAAUGACUUCCUAAUAUUUCCUUUCCUUUUGUUUUUCUUCUCAAGGUCUUUACAAUUUCUAAGCUAGGGGUAAGCGUAAGAUUUAUUCCAAUUAUUGUGGACCCAAUUAAGUCAAAUAAUGUGGACUUGAUGGACAUAUCAUAUUAAAAGUUAAUAAUUAUAAUUUAAUCCUCCCUCUACCUAUUAGGUUACACAUAAUGAUUAUAGAUGUCAUCACUUAUGGUUUUUGUAAUUAAAGGAAAAGGUCAAGGAGGAGAAAUCAAUUUAUCAAGUGUUCUUCUUAGUCAACUCUAAUGGCCAACUUUAAUUCCACAGCAUGUAUUUCUCAAACUUGUGAAAAUCAUAUCAUUCUAAAGAUCCUAAACAAUUUAUUAUGCAAUAUUAGUGAUUUGGUUUGCAUAAUAUUUAGAUGUUAAAGAUUUUACAUGUGAUAUCAUGAGCUUAGGUUAAAGAAUAUAUGAUUUUUCGUUAAAUUUCUUUAUUAUGUAUUUGGUUGUAUAUAUUACCCCUCAAAAUUUUCUUAGCAACUCAAAGUUGUUAUGUUGGAUUAACUGAAUAAACUUGAAUUGAUAACCUUUUCAAUUCUUAUUUAGUUAAUCAUUAUGUUGGUGGGAUUAAAUGAUUACAAAAAAUAAAUUAGUCAUAAAUAAGACAAUUAGGUAUUUUAUCUUUAUGUGUAUGGGAUGCAUGUGGUUAUCUUUUAACUAUAAUUCAACCUUAUUUAAUUAUUUUGAUUCAUUUUGAUGUUGGCACAGUUUUUUUAAUUGUUUAUUAUGUUUUAACAUUAUGAUGGUGUAACCUAUAUUAUUUUAAUCUUUAUUGUUUUAUUAAGGUUGGUUAUUUAUUAUGCUAGCUUCUACCCAAAUGAGAACUGUCAUUAAUUUAUCAUGAUGUAAGGAUUCUUCUCGAUCCAAACCACAAACCCAAUUAAAGAUUUCAUAUCUUUGAGAAAUCAUAUGAAGGCUUUGAUUGAAAACAUAAAGACUUAUCAUUUUAUGUUAGAUACUAGUUAUCACUUAGACCUGUUUCAGACUCUUUAUGUAUCUUCAGUUUCUAAUAACCUUAUAUCUACAUCAAAACUUUAUGUUUCUAGGUUUAAAGUUAAGUUUGGACAUGGUUAUUUCAGUUUUUUUAAGAAUAAUAUUGUUUUAGAUUCAGGAAUCUUAUUGAUGGUUUAUAUAAAUUGAAACAUGAUAAUAUCUUUGUGAAAUCUUUACUUUUUUAUCAUAUUAAUGUUAGAAUUAAGCGUAGUAUGCUAAAUGAAAUUUUUACUUACUUGGCAUAAAAUUUUAGGUCAUGUAUCCAAAGAAAAGAUAAAAAGAUUAGUAAAUAAUAGGAUUCUACCAAAUCUAGAUUUUACUAAUAUCUGAGUAUGAACGGAUUGCAUUGAGGUAAAGAAAAUCAAAGAUACUAAGAAAGGUGCCACAAUAAGCACCUAGCUUCUUGAGAUAAUUCACAUUGAUAAAUGAAGAAUUUUUAAUGUUUUAUAUUUUAGUGAAGAAAAGUAUUUUUUCUUAUUUAUUGAUGAUUUUUCCAAGUAUUGUUAUAUAUAUUUUUGCUUGAUGAAAAAUCCCAAUCAAUAGAUAUCCUUGAGAUAUACAUUAAUGAGGUUGAAAGGCAAUUAGACAGAAAACUGAAAAUAGUAAGAUCUGAUAGAGGUGGUGAAUUUUAUGGAAAAUUUACUGAAUCAAGACAAUGUCCAUGCCCAUUUACUAAAUUUCUAAAAAGUCAUGACAUAUGUGCAUAGUAUAUUAUGCCAGACACACCUCAACAAAAUGGUAUUGCAGAAAUGCAUAAUUAAGCUUUAUUUGAUAUGGUUAGGAGUAUGAUGAGUAGCUCAUCAUUACCUAUAUCAUUGUGGAUGCAUGCACUCAAAACUAUUGAAUACUUAUUAAAUAGAGUUCCUAGUAAGGUAGUUCCAAAAACUCCUUUAAGUUGUGGACUAAAAGGAAACCUAACCUAAGGCCCUUAUAUGUUUGGGGUUCCCAAGGAAAAGAAAGAAUAUAUAAUCCACGUGAAAGAAAACUAGAUUUACGUAUGAUAAGUGGAUACCUUCUUGGUUAUCCAGAGAAAUCUAAAAGAUAUAGGUUUUAUAUACCAAAUCAUAGUCCAAGAAUCAUAGAAACUAGUAAUGCUAGAUUCCUUAAGAUUGGUAAAGUUAGUGGAAAUGUUUUAAAACAACUUGUGGGUAUAAAAGAAAUUAUAGUAGAAUUUCCUAUAUCUAUAAAUGUUCUUUUAUCCACAACUAGCACAAAUGUUGGUCCAGCAAUUAAUGAAUGCCCUAAUAAAGUUGAGCAUUUAAAUAAUGAAAAACUCAUUGAAGAAACUAACUCACAUAGGUUUAAUGAAAAUAAACCACAAAUAAUGCCAUUAAAAGAUCUCAAAGAGAGAGAAAAUCGACCAUUUCUGAUGAUUAUGUAGUUUAUUUGCAAGAUUUAGACUUUGAUAUUAAUCUAGUUUCAUUUUCACAAGCUUUAAAUAGUGAUGAGUCUGAUAAAUGGCUAAGUGCCAUGAAAGAUGAGAUGAAAUCUAUGGAAGAAAACAAAGUCUUGUACAUUAUUGAAUUGCCAAAAGGUUCAAAAUGAUUUGGAUAUAAAUGAGUUUUUAAAACCAAACGUGACUCAAAUGACAAUAUUGAAUGAUAUAAAUCUAGAGUUUUUUUCCAAAUGUGACACUCAAAAAGAUUGUAUUGAUUAUAAAGAGACUUUUUCACUAGUCUCUAAGAAAGACUCUUUAAGAACUAUUAUAGCAUUGAUGGCUCAUUAUGAUUUAGAGUUACACUAAAUGGAUUUGAAAACAACCUAUUUAAAUGGAGAUAUUAAGGAAGAAAUUUAUGUGGACCAAACUGAAGGUUUUAAAGUUGAAGGAAAAUGUCAUAUUAUGUGUAAACUUAAACAAGCUUCACGAAAAUGGUUCAUCAAGUUUAAUGAUAUCAUAAAGUAUUUUUGUAACACCCCUCACCCAUAUCCAACUCCGGGACAGGGUUUGAGGCGUCACCAGACUUAAUUAUUCACAAACAUACAAAAUCAGGUCACCAAAUUUCGCCCAAAAUUAAAACAUCUCAAACACAUGCAUAUCGUCCUUUAUAUAGGCCUUCGAAGCCUAUAACAUACAUUGGGUGCUUCGGGACUAAACUGAGAACUUUGAAAAUCUUUGGGCAACUUAACAAAUUUUCUUGCUUUGGAGACUCACACGCCCGUGUGGCUUGGGACACGCCCAUGUCCUCAGCCCGUGUAACUCUCUGUUUGUGACAUCAGCAACCAUUUAAGGGCACACGCCCAUGGCGAGAGGCCGUGUCCUCUACACGAAUAAGACACACAGCCAUGUCACUACCCUUGUGGUCUAAACUUUGUUAGUUUCUAAGCCUUUUUGUCAUUUUCACAUGCACACACAUACUUUUGACCUUGUCAUCUUAUUAAUCACUUAUACCGUUAUAUUAUGGUUAUUAAAUUAUACAUCAACAUCCAUGUUCAGGGCACUAAUAACUUAUUACCAUAUCACACAAUCAUUACAUGACCAUGACCGCCUCGAAUGGUCCUAAGGUCUUCAUCGUGUACAUAUGCCAUAUACUUCUCAUACAUAGUGAACAAGCACAAUCACAAGACAUUAACACAUAUCAUGGAUAAAUAGGCUUACAAGCCAAAAUCAUUAUAAGCCACAUCUCAUGGCUAUAAACAACAAAUCAAUAUAGCCAAUACAUUUGGCUAAUCACAACAAUAUUCAUCAUAGAAAAAAUAAGUCCCUAUACACGCCACUCACCUGAAAACAUUAACAUACACAUGUCAAUACUCCAAGGGUAAUGGCUCAAUAGUGUGAUGCUGCCUCCGACUAUCUCCAACCCUGAGAUAACCUGACAAAACUAAAAGAUAUGGAGAGGAGUGAGUAAGCUUUAUGCUUAGUAAGCUCACAUGAAAAUAAUAAGCAAUGUGAUAACAUGUUAUUUUCAAAUUCUUUCUAUUUAUUCAAAUUCCAGCUAAGCUAUUUUCUAAAGUCACAGUCAUUAAAUUAUUUAUAUCCACAGUUACGAGACUCCAAAUCAAGAUCCGUUAAUUUUCCCAAAAACUAGACUCAUAUCCCUUCUCACCAUAAAAUUUUUAGAAUUUUUGGUCUAGCCAAUAAGUACAGUUUAUUAUUUAAACUCUCCCUUUGUUUCGCUGUCUGACAGCUUCAACCUCUAUCUACUAAAAAUUAAAUAUCUCAUAGUACGAGACUCAGAUAAUGUUCCCGUCUCUUUCUCCUAAAAUUAGACUCAUUAAGGAUUUCAGUAAUAUGAUUUCUAACUCAUAAUUAUUUUUGUACAAUUUCUAGUGAUUUUCCAAAUUUGAGACAGGGGAGUUCGAGAUCACUCUGACCCUGUUUCACAAAAAUUCCAAUAUCUCAUCAUAUGAGAUUCCUUUACUUACACAGUUUCCUUUAUCAGAAACUAGGCUCAAUAAGCUUUAAUUACAUAUUUAUUCAGCCUCCAACUCAAUUCCCACUAUGUUUAGUUGAUUUUCAAAUUCGGACCACUGCUAUUAUUCUAAUCUGUCUUAGUGCAACAUAAUGAUAACCAUCACAGGUUUAUCAUAGAAAUUAUUCUCAUAAAUAUCACUCAUUCAUUUGCACUCUUAUCACAAGUCCAUUUCAUUUCACAUGUCAAACACAUACUCAUGGGUUUCGAGUACAUACCUGUGCUAUCUCUUAGCACAACCACUCAUCCAAACAGGAUAAUCAUAUGCAUCAUACUAAUAUCAACUAAGCAUAGAUGAGUUUAUCAUGUCGUUUUUCUUUAUAUCACUAUGUAUGUCAUUACAGCUGAAUUAUUAAAUUUCCGAUUGACCUUUCCUUUUCUAGUUGUACACUCAAGGUGUACGUUUCUUUCUGAAUGGUACACAUAAAGUAUACAUUUCCUUUUCAUAUGGUAUAUACAAAGUAUACCUUUCCUUUUCAUAUGGUAUACACAAAGUAUACCUAACAUUUCCAAGUGUACACACAAAGUGUACAUAACCUUCUCAAGUGUACACAUAUAGUGUACUUUUCCUUUUCAAAUUGUACCAUUUGGGUACACAAAUCAUUUUCAAGUAUUACCCUUUCGGGUUACAUUCCUUUUCAUAAUAAGAUCAAAAGAUUGUCCCUUUUGGAACAACUUUUACUACAACAUAUGCAGGACUUCACAUACACGGUAAUCACCUGUCCAAUCGGAAAUCAAUAUUCAAACGGAUUCAUGUAAUAUUUCAUCAUUUAUAUGUAAAUCACAAAUCAAGAUUAAUUUAUUACAUGUACAUACCAAUUACAAAUCAUGAUGCACAAUAUUCAUCAAUCAAUUCAACACAUGUACAUGCUUGAUUUAGUUAUACAAACUUACUCGUUUCUUUUAAAAUAUCAUAUUCCAUCAAAUUUCUACUAACAUCAAAUUCAAUAAAAUUAUAACAAGAUAUAUUUCAUGUAUAACAAUAAUAACAUGAAUAAUAGGCUUAUUAAAUCACGCGAACUUACCUCGGAUCCAGAAACGAUAAUUUACCAUUUUAGUUCAUAACUUUGAAUUUUCCCGAUUUAAGCCCGAAUCUCGAUUUCCUUGAUCUAUGAUAUCACAUUUAGCCCACUAAUUAGUCACAUUAUUCAUAUGGGUCUAAAAAUCAGAUUUUUACAAAUUUUCAUUUUGACCCCUAUACUUUCACAUAUUUGCACUUGGGCCCCAAUGCUCGUAAAAUGAUUUUUAUUCAAUUUCCCUACAUUUUAAGUCUAGCUGAAUCAUUUUCAUAACUAUGGAAGCCUCCAAUUCCCACUAAAUCACCCUUUUAUGACCAAAUUUACAACUUUUACAAAAUAGUCCUUUCGGACGUUUUCAUCGAAAACCGCUUAGUAAAAGUCAUUUAUUUAACACCCAACACUCAUUUUCUACCAUUAGACAUCAAAAUAAAAGUAUUUCACUCAUGUUUAAGAUUUAAAACAUAAACCCCGGCUCAAAUUAAAGGUAGAAAUAGGUAAAUCGAUUUACCGGGACUUAAAAAAUGUAAAGAAUAUUAAAAACAGGGCUCGAGAUCACUUACAAAUGAGCUUGGAAAGCUUAAAAAAAACCCUAGCCAUGGUGGUCUUAAAAAUUUCGGCUAAGACAUGAAAAUGAAGAAGAUGACAUCUUUUUUUAUAUUAUUUUGGCUUUAUUAGCCAAAUUACUAAAAUACCCUUAAUGAAAAACAAUUUAAAACAUACCUAACCAUGUCCAUUUUUGUCCACAACUUAAUUAAUGGUCCAAUUACCACAUAAGGACUCCCAAUUUUAAAUUUCAUGACAAUUGGACACCUCUAACAUGUAGAACUCAACUUUUAUUUUUGCAAUUUAGUCCUUUUUACUAAAUUGAGUUCCCAAACGUCGAAAUUUUCGAACAAAAUUUUCACGAAAUCAUUCUAUGAAAUUUUAAACCAUAAAAAUAUAAUAAAAAUAAAUUUUCUUAUGUCGGAUUUGUGGUCCCGAAACCACUGUUCCGACUAGGCCCUAAUUCGGGAUGUUACAAUUUUGAUUUUCAAGAAAGCGUCGUUGAUCAGUGUACAUACCAAAAAAAUUAGUUCUUUAUGUUAACGAUAUUUCAUUUGUUACAAAUGAUUUUGGUAUAUUGUGUAAGACAAAACUUUUUCUCUCGAAUAACUUUGAAAUGAAUGAUAUGGGAGAAGCAUCCUAUGUGAUAGGUAUUGAAAUAUUCCAUGAUAGGAAUUGAAAUAUUCCAUGAUAGAUUACAAAGAUUGUUAGGAUUCUUUUAGAAAAACUAUAUCGAAUGAGUUUUAAAGAGAGUUAAUGUGCAUAAUUGUUUAGCAACAGGAAUUGUUCUUAUACAAAAAGAGGACAAAUUUAGUCUCAUGUAGUGUCCAAAGAAUAAUGUGGAACGAAAGGGAAUGGGAUAAAUUCCUUACUUUUUUUGUAGGCAAUUUAAUAUAUGUCUAGACCUAUACAAGACCUGACAUUAGUUUUGCAAUUGGGACGUUUGGCAGAUAUUUUACGAUACCUACAAGGAAUAAAGAAUUACAUGCUCACGUAUGAGAGAUCUAAUCAGUUGGAAGCGAUUGGAUACUCGGAUUCAAAUUUUGUUGGAUGUCUUGACAGUAGAAAGUCCAUUUUUGGCUAUUUAUUUUUACUUGCUGAAAGAGCCAUGUUAUGGAAAAGUGAUAAACAAUUUGCCUUUGCAUCUAUGUUGAAAGUAGAAUCUGUGGCAUGUUUUGAUGUUACUAUUCAUACAUUAUGGUUGCAAAACUUUAUUUCAAGACUUGGGGAAGUUGACACCAUUACCAAGCCACUAAAAAUUUAUUGCGAUGACUUUGCAGUAGUAUUUUUCUUCACAAACAAAAAAUAUUCCAAAGGUGCAAAACAUAUGGAAUUAAAAUAUUUUUCUAUUAAGAAGGAAGUUCAGAAACAAAAGUGUCUAUAGAGCAUAUUAGAAUUGAUCUUAUGAUUGCAAAUUCAUUAACUAACGGCUUAAACCAAAGACAUUUUUAAAGAACAUGUGCAUAGAAUGGGUUUUGGUUGUAUUGAUGAAUGAAAUUUUAUGAUGUCUUGACACUAUAAGCUCAAUUAUGGCAUUUCUGAAGUAAAAUAGACAUAUUUCCUAUUUAUUAUGUUUGUGUGCACAUAAUUUUUAAAAAUUAUUUAAAAUAGGAAAAAUUUAUAGUUACUUAAAGACUUAUUAUAUUGAGUUGUAAUGUUACAGUAUAGGAAAGGAAGUAUGUGACUUAAACUAUAUACGACUACCAUAACAUACAGUUGCAAUUCACUAUACUAUGGUAAUUAUGAUGAGUGUUAUUUUUAUGCAUGUUCAACGUUUAUUCCAUUAAAGUUUAUGUUUUACCUCAUUGGGCCAAGUGGGAGAAUGUAAGAUUUUAGCCCAAUUAUUGUGGACCCAAUUAAGUCUAAAAUAAUGUAACCGAAUUUAGAAGAGAUAAGAGUUUUACUUUGAAUAGAAAUUAAAAUCUAUCCCUUUAUUCGAUUACUUGAUGGACGUAUCAAAUUAAAAGUUUAUCAUUAAAAAUUGAUCCUCCCUCUACCUAUUAGUGUUACACAUACACCAAAUUAAACGUAGAGAUUAUCGCCACCAUCACUUAGGGUUUAUGUAAUUAAAGGAAAAGGUCAAGGGGAAGAAACCAAUUUAUUGAGUGUUUUUCUUCAUCAAGUAUAAUAGCCAACUCCAAUUCCACAUUAGGUAUUUCUUAAACUUUUGAAAAUCUUAUCAUUCUAAAGAUCCUAAAUAAUUGAUUAUGCAAUAUUAGGGAUUGGGUUUGCAUAAUAUUUAGAUGUAAAGAUUGUACAGUAAGAACUCCCUGUCAUCGUUUCUAACAAACAAAAAUGUAACUUCAAUUCAACCCACAAAUCAAGAAUAACAAGACAAUUAAACAAUAAAAAGAAAUCAUUAUAUAUAAAAAUCAACUAGGAUACCUAUAAGUUUGGUUAUCGAAUGUGUUAAUUGUAGUGUUAUUGGGGGUGUUGCCACACUUCAUACAAUACUUUAAAAAAUGAAAAAAUGGUAGACACAAAAACACAGAGAUUGUUUAUGCAAUUUGAUGAAUACAAAUACGUUUGUAUGGCCUCACCUAGAGAAAUAAUCUACUGGAAAGUCAACAAUCCAAUCACCAAUUACAACAUAAUCAAUUCUAAGAUUAUUGUGGUCUUAGUGUCAUAUAAUUCUAAGUGUACAAACUCAGGAAGCUUAAGUUCAACACUAUUAUGGCUUAUCUUAGUUUAACUACUCAAGGCCAAAAGUAUGAAAUUCAGGUUCUAAUUCAUCCCUUUCUUUUCUAUCAUCUAAGCUCUCAUUUAAGCGUAAAAAAUGCUUAUGGGCCGAGUCAUUGUUUGAAAGUUUUCUAUUUUGCUUAUCCAAGUUCAUAUGACAUCUAUUACCGUUCUAUUCAUGAAUAAUAUUCCUCAUUUCAUAUCCUAGAAAAGAUGAAGGAGAAUGUUUCAACAAUUUGUGAGUCUUUGAUGUUUUUAUCCCAAAAAAGAAGUGUAAGAGUGGUAAGAUGUUCGAAUUAGUGAGAUUAGCUAAUGUGAGAAUGGUGAGGAUUGUUGCUUAAUAAAUGAAUAGAACCUGGGUUAUGGGUUAUAAGAUUGGUGUCAAAUUUUUAGGUGUAAUAGUCGCAAGUCAUAUUGGAGAAGGGUAUGUCAUAGCUCAGAUAAAAAUAUAGUCAAAGGAGAAAAAAGAGGUCAGGAGAAGAUUAUUGAUGAGGAAAAGAUUUGUGAUGAAGAUGAAAAGCCAUAUGGGGUUGAUGAUGGUGUAGUGUGUCGAUUGAAAAGACAUCAAAAAAUCUUCAAUCAUAGGGAGAUGAAAAAAUAUCAUAGAAGAUGGAGAGUCAUGAGUCUAUCGAGAUUAUUAAUACUAACGAAAUGCAUAAUGUUUUGGUGUUCUCUGAGGAUUACUAGCUUUUUGCUUGAUAUCCUCUAUGUUGUGUCCCUAUUUUAGAACUUUUAUUAUUAAUAAAAUUUUUGCUUAGUAAAAAAAAACUCUUAAAGAAGGAAAUAAUCUUAGAAUUGCAUCAAGUAAACAAAAUUACAUUUUUCAAGAAAGAAAAUAGUUCCCUUUUAUUGACCCCUCGAAUAGUUAGUCAAUCACCUCAUGUUAUCCUUUUAAUCAAAUAAGAUAGAGUUGCCAAAAGGUUAUCCUUUGGUCAUGGCAAUCUAAUCCUUAUUCAAUCUAUAUCCUUAAAUACAGAAAGAACAAAUCACAUGAUCUCAGGACUCUCAAAUAAUCUAAUUUCCAUUACAAAAGGAAUCUAUAUAUUUUUUAGAAUAUCACAUAAUAAAUAAUAACAGGCAAUUACAAGUUAAAAUUGUAAACUCAAUCAUGCAUUUUCAAAGUGUUGUAACACUCUAUGCAGCACUCAGUGUAAGAGGUUUAUAUUCUAACAAUAACCCCAAAAUGAGAUGAUUUUUUGACAACAAACUUAUGCUCUGAGGAUGUUUUGGCAUAAAUAAUCAGUUAGGCCAUUCAUGUUAAAUCUGACAACUACAAAUAUAACAAACCACGAAGAACCGUUAGAUACAUUGGGUGCCUUCGCCUUUUGGUUAAAUAUGGUUAAUAUAGAUAGUCAUUAGCUGAAGCCUGCAGAGAACAUCAAUAAGAGAGGUCUCUUACAUGACAACAAUGAGUCCUAGCUGCUAGGAUUUAACAGGAAUAUAGGUACAUACUUGGUCUCUAAGCUGGAGCUUUGGAGCAUGUCUAAUGGCUGCACUUAGCUUGGGAGAGGGGAUACAAGAGACUGAUCAUUGAGAAUAACAACAUUUUAGUAGUACACAUGCUUAAUGGUGAUGAUGAAGUUGCCAAUAAUUGUGUGCUUGUAAGGGGAAUUAAGGAGUUUUGUCAUAGGUAAUGGGAAGUUAAAUUAUGCCACACUUUUCAUGAAGCCAAUAAAGUAGUUGAUUUUAUGUCAAAAUGGCCUUGUACAACAGAUUUUAGUUUCCAAUUUUUUUUAUACUCCUCCCUUAGAUGUUAAUAAUUAUUGUUUGAAGAUCUACUUAGCAUCACUUAUGGUAGGAAUUGUGUUUUCUAAUUGCUUUGCAUUUGGACACCAAAGCUCCUUCACAAUAAAAGUAAGAAUUCUCAAAAUUAAGUGAUCAAAAAGGAUUUUUCCUUUUAAAAAAUCAUAAUAUCUCAUGAAUAAUCUAUGAUAUAGCAGUACAAUGUAACAUCUAAUCAACACAUCAUCUUUAUCAUUAGUCUUUAAUAAAAGACCUAAAAUAUGAAUUUCUAGAUUGAUAUUUUUUACAGUUGGGUAAUAGGAAAAACUUAGAAAUUAUAUGAAAACGAAAGGCAAUUCAGAGCCCCAAUAGAAAAUUUUUAAUUUAAUUUUUCAUAAAUUGUAAAAUUAUAAAUUAAUAUAUCUUACAACUAAAAAUAAAAAUAUUUGUUUAAUCUUUCAAAAAAUAAUUUAUUAUACGAUUAAAUUAUAAAUAUAUUUUUUAAGUUUUUAAAACUUAUAAUUCUAUUUUAACUCUUUGCCCCUUCUAAAAACCUAUGUAAUUUAUUGCAAGUACUUGUAAAAAUUCUUUAAGGCAAACAUGGCGUAUUGAUGACGUUAAAAUAUUGCAAAAGAAGAUAUUUGCAUAUUAACAUUUACAACAACGAAAGGAUAAAAAAAAAUUCAACAGCACUUUAAGAAGUGGAGCUCCCAUUUGUGACUGAAAGCUAUUCUUUAAAUAGUCUGAUUUUCUAGGUCAAUGAGCUUGAAAACUACUUCUAUGGCUCCAAAGGCUGAAAGUCUUUCGGGUUUCGUGUGAUGGACCCUUCUAUUAUUGCCCUAUCAUUGAGUUUAGUGGAGUGGAAAUUGAAAACAUUAAUUUGUAUGAUAUUUUUAUUGAUAAUUAUUUUUUGUUAAAUUAUGCUUUCAGUCCCUUUACUUUGUAAAAUUUAUGGAUUUGGUCAUAUAUUUUUUUAAUCAUUUUUAGUCUCGUACUUUCCUAUUUUUGAAAUUUUAGUCCUCACCAAACAAUAACAGUUAAAUUCAUUAAGUAAAGAUAUGUUAUUUUUAAAAUCUGAUUCGCCAAACAUAUUAUCAUAUGUGUAAUACCAUAUCAGCUUAUUAUUUCCACAUAUUAUUCACUAAAAAUUUAAUUAAUGGACUAAUGACUAUCACUUGCAUCAAGACUGAAAUUUCAAAAUUUGAAAAGUAUAGAAUUAGAAUGAUCCAAUUGGAGAAAAUUGACCAAAAUUAUAAUUGUAUACAUAAUACAAUACUAGUAAUUAAAUUUAGCUAAACAAAUUUAAUUGCUACUAUUUAGGUCAGGAUUGAAAUUUUAAAAUUUGAAAAGUACAGGAGCUAAAAGUGACCAAUCCAAAAAGUAAAGGGAUUAAAAUUAAUCAAAUAAAAGUACAAAGACUAAAUUUACAAAUUUUUCAAAGUAUAAAGACUAAUAAAAUAAUUUAACCAUUGUUUUUAAACACUAUUCUUUAAUUUUCAAAUUCAUCUUAAAUUCUUUCAUCCUUAAAAAUUCAUUGAUGCUAUGUGUUGACAUGCAUCGCCUAAUAUUAAAGCAUAAAAAUAAUUUUUUUUGGUAGAAAAAAAAGCAUAAAAAUAAAUUUAGUUGUUUCUAUUUAUUAAUUUAUUAUUUUGUAUUAUUUUCAUUACUCAACUUUUAAUUUUUAAUUAAAUUAUUUUAUUUAAAUAGAAAAAAUUAAUUAAAUUGUUAAAUUUUUAAUCGCUUUAACUUGGCAGUCCUAGUAACCCACUUGACAAUAUAUGUAUACGUUACUGAUGGCAUGAGUAAUUUUUAAAUUCUUUUAUGAACUUUUUUUUUAAAAUUUUUUAUAAAGUAUUGUGAACUGUCACGUGUGUUGAUAGUUGUCACAUCAGUACCGUUAAAAUUUUAAUUGCCCAAUUAUUUUUAUUUUAAAAAAAGUUAAUUAGAUUUUAAGUGUUGGGAGCUAAAGUGAUCCAAAAAUGAACUAGAACCAAAGUGACAGAAAGAGUAAACGUUGAGGGCUAAAUAUAUGAUUAUGUCUAACGUUAAAGAUGCAAGUUUGAUAAUAUUUUAAUAAUUAUUAAAUGUCAUAACGAUAAAUUUAGCCCUUAAUGUUUAACCCUUUUAUCACUUUAGUCCUAUUUUUCUUUUUCUUUUAUUAUUAUUAUUUUGGCUCUCAACCUUCAAAUUUUAGUGAAAUUAUUUUUUUCAGAUGAAAAAGUUGAUUGAAUAAAGAAAAUUUUAAUGGCACUAACAUGUCAACUCAAGUGGCAGUCCACGUAUACUUCAUAAAAUUUCAAAAAAAUAUUAUUGCAAAAAUGAACAAAAUAAAAAAAGUUCAUAAUUUUUUUUUACAAAAUUAUUUAUGUCAAUGCACAUAAACUGUUAUGUGGGUGCCACAUUAGUUCUAUUAAAAUUUUAAUAACUUAAUCAAUUUUCGCAUCUAAAACAAAAGAAUUUGACUAAAAUUUAAAAGUUUGGGGCAAAGUAAUCCCAAAAAAAAAAGUUAAGGUCAAAGUAGCAAAAAUGAUAAGAUGAAAUGUAUGAUUAUGUCUUAAUAAAAAUGAAUGAAAUUAAUAUAGAUAUAGUCAUGAAUUUUAAAAAGAAUUCAACUGAAAAUAAUUUUUUUUAAUCAUGUAUUAGAGUCCAAUGUAUUUGUUCAUACCUUAAUUUAAUUAGAAAAGGUAUAAAUAUUUUUAGUAGUUUUUUUUUUACUAUUUGAAAGUGAAUAAUUUAAUCUCUAUCAAAAUAAAUAAUAUAAUGCAGGCCCUUAAUCUUUAAAAAAAGAGUUAAAUAACUUUUUAUUAAUGAAAAUGUUGAUUAAACAUUAAUUUUUAAUGUUGUUGGUGUGGCAAUAAGCAUGGCAAUCUAUGUGCACAUUAUGCUAACAUAACACCAUUUGUCUUAUAUGUCAUGUCAAUAAAUAAUUUAAAAUUUAUAAAAAUAUAAAAAUCAAAACCAAAAUUAAAAUUUAAAAAAAAAGCACGAAUUACACGUGGAUUGUUAUGCAUGUUGUCGUAUUUAAAAAUUUAACAUUUUAGUUAAGUGUUCUCGUUAAAGAAAAGCAUUUUGACUCUUUUUCAAAAGGUUGAUAGUCAGAUUUGAAAUUUUUAAAAAAGUUGAGGGUUAAAUUUAACAAAAAAAAAGAAUAAGGGUCAAAUUGAUAAAAAUGUAAAUAUUAAGUACUAAAUUUAAUAUUAUGCCUAAAAAUUUAAUUUAAUCUUUUUUUUUGAAAGUAAACAAAUAAAAAUAAUUGAAGAUGACGUUAAAUAUUUCUAUUAAUACAUGGCACAUUUCCAAUUAUAAUUGGUUGAAUUUUAACAAAUAAAAACAAUUAUAUAAUGUUGAAAAUAAAUAUAAUAAUUUAAAAAAAUAAAAAAAUAUAAAUUGUAAAAUUAAUUUUUUUUUUGAAAAAGUUUCAAACAGUUCUAUAAAAGAAAAUAUUUUUCUAAAAAAGUUGUUCAUAAAUUCAAACUUCUAAAAAUUUUAACAAUUUUAGUAAAAAAAAAAAAGGAGGUUGUCAAUUUUUUUUCUUAAAUAAUUAUUACUCAUUCAGUAUUCUUCGAUUGAUAUUUAGUUUGAAGUGCAAUUUUCAACAAGCAUUGGUAAAAAAUAAAAUUUUUUUUGGUUAAAAUUAAAAAAUUUAAAAGUGAUGCAAUGCCACUCACAAAAAUAAUGACAAAAAAAUUAUUCUUUUGAAAAAUUUUCCUACUUCUUUUAAAAGUUUUAAACUUUUUAUAAAUUUAUAAGUUUUUAGAUUUUUUUAAAAUUUGUGAAUAAUUUUUUUUUAUUUUUUAAAAUUUUCUCGAAACUUUGGAAUUUUUUUUAUUAAUUUCCAAUUUUUAAAUAGUAAUUCUAGAAUUUGUUUUCAAGGAUCUGUUAGUAAUUUUCUAAUAUUUUAAAAAAAUUUAUCAUUUUUUGGAUUUUAGGUAUUUAUAAUUUGUAAUACCGUGUAAUUUGUUUUUUUACAAAAAAUUCAAUCAUUGUUGUUAGACAUGUUUUGGAUCAUCACUUGUUGUGUCUCAUUGAUCAAGAAAAAAAAUUGUAUAAAAUUGUGAUGGUACAUUAUUUAUAUUUAUUAUUAAAAAAAAUAUUUUUAAUAUCUUUUAGUUACUUAGCUUCUAACAAUACAAGGGUUAAAUCACCUAUCACAUUAGUCACUCAACGAUAAACUUGUAUGGAUUUUAAGUUUAUUAAUAGGAAAUCUAGAAUUUGAUUCUUGUAUUUUUUUUCUCCUUCCCUUUAUAAUGUACUUGUUCACCAAUAAAACGGAACAAAGCGAGUAAAUCAGACUUCAAAGGGCUAAACCAGGCAUGGCAGCAAAAUAUCAUGUGUUGAUUCUGGCUGCCCCAAAGGUUUCUAUUUUCACCAAUAUGACAAUCCUAGUUUAUCAACAAAUAGAACCAUUCCGAACAAAAGGAAAACCUAAACAUAAAACAUUUAAAACAGAGUAAGAGGCAGCAAUUAGGAUGGCAGUGACACCACCCGACCAGAACCUGUGGUAAUUGUUAUUAAACUGUUAUUAACUCUGCUCAUCGUGCUCUAUUUAUUUACAAAAAAAAGGUAUAUAUAGCAUUAUGAGAUCAAAGGGCAACCGAGGUUCCAAAGAAAUUAAAGACUGAGAGAGUUGAAAUGAUGAUGGCCCAAGUGUUGCAGAAUAUAUUAUCACCAAUCUCUGGGGAAAUAAGUGUGGAAAACAAAAAUGGCAAGCGGGGUGGGGCGGGGCCAAUGUGAAAAGCGAAAGGAGAAUCCCACCGCUGACUUCGGGAUACAACGAGGCUUUCAUAUCUCCACUUUUAUUUUUCAUUUUUCAUGUCACCCAAUUACCCCUUUCUUUGUAUUUGCAGUACUAUAUUUUUCUUUGGCUGCUUCUUCCAUCAAACCUAAAAAAGGGUGUUUUCCUGUCGCUAAAAAUAAUACACUAUAUCUAUUUCCCACCAUCAAGAAUCGACAACCACUUCUGCAAUUAUUUCUUGAAUUUCAAGUCACUGUGUAUCCCCACUCAAUUUUGUCAAAUAAAAGUGUGCCAUGAUUUUAACUUUCCUUCCUACUUUUAUUUUCUUUUUAAAUACCUUCUUUCUAUUACAUGCAAAACUUUCUUAUUCUCAUUUCUUACAAAAACAUAUGGUACCCAGCAAAAAAAAAAAAUUGUUAGAAAUAUUAAAUAUAGUUGAUUGAAUUUGGAAUUGAUACUCUAUCGGUUUGAUAAGAGUCAUGCAUUAAAUUAAUUUAUAUUAGUGAUCACAGCCAGACGUGUGAACAUUUGGACUGAAAAUAAAUAAUGCAGCAAAUAAAUAUAUAAUUAAACAAUGGUGUCCACAUGUAUACAAGUCAAAUUGUAAUAUAGAUUUACAACUAAACACUUUAGAAAGCAUUUCGAGGAUCGUACUAAAGAGAGGUUGAAUUAAAUCUAAAUUAAUUCUCUUCACUAACAAGUCUAAAUAGUACCGAUUAUAUUACGAAAACCAAAUUAAAAUGAAUUAAUUAAACUAACAUAAAAGUACCUGAAAUUAAAUUAAGCCAAUUAACAAUAGAAUAAAUCUAAUAAAACAAGUAGGAGAUCAACUCACUUCAGUAGCCCUAAUUAACUUCAGAAUUCGAGUUUUAUCAAGUUAGCUAUUAAUUAACCAGUUAUUACCUCUCGAUCUCUAACUAAUUAACUAAUUGAUCAAUACAAGUUUACCUCUCAAUCUCACUUUCUUGACCGAGAUAAAUUACGGUUUACUAGGUAAAUUUAUCUCUCAAUCUCGUUUAUCCUAAAUUACUUCCUAGGGUUUAAUCGCACAUAAUUUAGACCAAUUAACCUGGAUUUCAAACACUAAUUCAUUCGUUAAUUAUUCACACAUCUGUUCAUUAAUCUCCCUAAGAAAAUUAGCUAUUCAUGGAUCUAAAUGCAACAAUCCUUAAAUUCAUAUUUAACAUAUCAAGCAGCAAAUUAAAUAAAAGUAAGGAGUAAAGAAUUAAGUCUAUUUUUUAUAUCGAUUUGAGCUUGGAAGUAAAAUUUCCUUUAACAGUCGCGAAGACCACUUCGAUUGCAAUUGGAAUCAACAACGAAAUAAUAAAAAACUAUUAUAUUAAAACAUUGGAUCAAAAUCGAAUCCAAGUUAAAACAAGAACAAAAGUAUAUAAAGGACUAAAUCAAAAAGAAAAUAAAAAUUAAACUAAAAGCCUAAAAUAACUAAACAACUCACUUGGUCAAGCCUUCUCAAAUGAGGCUUAACAUGCCUAUUUAUAAAGUUUAUGCUCAGGCCUAAUUAGGGUUACUAAAUAGCCCAAAAAUCUGAUUAAGGUACAUUUUGUGGACUAAAAUACCCUUAAUUAAAAUUUCAGCUCGUAACUUGAUGUCGUGACACUGCAUGAACAGUGUCGCGAGGCUACAGUUGUCCUUCCUUUCUAAGCCCGAAAAUAGUGUCUUAUAUACUAGAUAAAGUCGUUAGAUCAUAUUUAAGCCCACAGCGCCCCAUUAGGUCAUAAUUAAAAAUUGUAUAAAAACGUUUAUUUUGUAUAAAUUAAACAUAAGAUUUACAUUAUAUGUUUAGUUGAUUUAUUUAAAAAUUUUCAAUAAAAAUAGUAAAAGACGAAAACACUAUUAUAUUAAUAGUCAAUGCUUUUAAGUAGUUUUUUAAUUGAGUUGAUUUAACACCUCAACUCAAUAAAACACAAUAAAUAUAGAAAUAAAGUAUGAUAGGUCAUUAUAGAUCUUUUAGAUUAUUUAUCCAAAGAGAAGGUUUAGAUAAGAACCUCAUAUGAUGGCUUGAUAGUCAAGGGAUUUCACCGCCUUAGGUGUGGCCUGAGUUUGAAGUUGUACUAGUCGCAUUAGUUGUUCGGGUUUUUCCUUAUUAUUGUAAUUGAUAAAAGUAAGAAGAAUGAAGUUUUAAAUAGAAAUAUUAAAAGAAAAAAGAAUGGCCAAGCCAAAAAAUUAAACCUAACUUUAAAAUUGUUUAGAGAAGGUUUCUUGUAUAAAAUUGUUACUGUUUAAAAAUUGGUCUAUUAAUUAAAAUUGAUGAUGAAACAAUAUUUGGAAGAUAUAAACAACUUUAAAAGAUAAUAUAAUAUUUAAAUAAAAAAUAUUGAAAUAUAUGCAAAUAAAUUUAAUAGUGUAUUUCCCCAUCAACAUUGUCAAAGCCGCACCUAAAAAAUAAGAUUUUAAAAAUAUUGCAACGAUGCUAUAAAAGUAGAAUUCUAAAAACUACGCAUGUUUUAACUUAAAUCAUUUUGUAAUUUUUUUUAUAAUUCAAUAUUAAUUAUAUAAUUAUUAUUUUUAAUCCUAUUUAUAAUUCUAUUUUGCAUCCAAAAGUUCAGUUUGUAGUUUAAUUAUCUUAUUAAAUAGUUUUACAACUAUAAUUUUUAAUGUUUAUCAUUUUAAUUAAUUUUAAACAUAAUUAAGUAAAAUAGAUUUUAUUUUUAAAUUUUAAUUUAAAAACAUUUUAUAGUAAUAAAAGUCGUUAGCACAAUGAAAUUAAUGAAAUGUGAUAUCUUCGUCCAAGAACUUUUAAAAGUAUUUGAAAUUUCAAAAAUUAAAAAAAAAUAGUUUUUUUUCAAUUUAAUUUUUUAAUUCAAUUCUUAACAAAAAUGAUAAUUAAUUGUUGAUGAAAAUUUAUAUAUAUUGACCAAAUUAGGUAUGGGUUUUAUUUAAUUUGUUUUAUAGCUUAAUUAUCAUAGUUUUUUUUAAGAAUUAAUUAUCAUAGUUAACACAUUUAUAAAUAAAAUUAAUAUUUUAUAAUAACUAUGAUAAACAAAAAAAAUAGUUUAAAAACAUUAAUUAGGCCUAUCCAGUGAAACAACUCAUUUGUUAAAUAAAUUUAUGUAAUAUUAAAUUAAAAUAUGUUUUAUAUAGAAAAUAAUAAUUUAAAUUUUAUAUAAAUAUAUGUGGCAUAUUUUAACUCAAUUUUAUAAAACAAUUUAUAAUUUGAAAUUAUUAAUUUCUAUUAAUUGAAAAACAAGUAUAUAUAUAUAUAUUGUGUUGUCAUGUCUCAAUAGAACGUAUGUCAGAAUUACUAUCAUACAUAUAUAUAUUUAAUUAACCGUUACUUUCUAUAACCAAUUAUUGUAUUUUUUUUAAAUAUAAAAUUACAAAAUAAAUUGUAAGUUGUAUAAAAAUUAUUAAAAUUAAAUACUUUCGAUCAUUAAGAAAUACUUUAUAUAAUUAAUAAUUUCAUUUUUAAAAAUAUAUUAAAAUCAAAAAAUAAUUUUAUCCAUUCAAUAUUUAAACAAACUUUUUCAAUUUAAAAGUUCAAAUAUGCUGUAAAGUAAAAUAAAUUUUAUUUGGAAAAAUUCACAUUAUAUUUAAAAAAAAGUUAGUACACUGUUAAUGUCCUUUUUUUUUUAAAAUCUACAAGUAGAUUUAAAAAAUUAUCACAUGUUCACUUCUUUAUAUAUUUAUUUUUAAUAUUUUAUUAUGUUUCUAUAAGACACUUGUAAUCACCUUGACUCUACUUGUGAAAUUUAAAAGCUCCAUCAGUGAUAUACCAAAUCUUUUCCCUUAAAAAUAUAAAAAUAUAAAAAAAAACCUUUAAUUAAUUUAUCUAUUUCAAAUUAAAAAAUAUAUAUAUCUAAUUAUAAUUCAAAAAAUACCAUAUUUGUUAUCUGGAGCUCCAUAAUAUUAAUUAAUAAAAUCAACUUUUUAUUUAUUAGUCAAAAAUUUAUUUAAAAAAUUUGUGAAAACAUUUAAAAAUUAAAGUUGAUCCCAAAAUCUAUUAAAAACAGAACUUUUAUUGUAUUUAGCACAAUCACACACGGUUAAUAAAACUAUCUUCGUUAAAAAGAAAAACAGAGAAUAUAUAUUUUUAUUCUUUUAAAUUUGUGCGAUAAUCAUGGGCAUGUAUUCAUAUUAAAACUUAAAUAUUUUAAAAUAUUUUUAAUUCUAAUCACAAUAAAACUUCAAAAACUCAUCCAUCGCACAUAUUGAUUGUGCGUAUUUAUUAAAUUACGUUAUGUUUAUUUGUUAAUUUUUUGUACAAUUUUUUCAACAUUUCAUAAAUAAAAUGAUUUUGAAAAGUGAAAAAUAGUUAUUUGAUAAAUAGACUUAUCUAUGAACCGGGCCGAAGCCUGAAUUUAAAAAAUAAAAUUUCAAGUCCGAGCUUGGGCUCGACUCGUCCUAACCCAUUCAAAUAACUCAUAUCACUAUUUUAAAAAUGGAUAAAUCUCAAAAUUAUACAUAAACUUUGGUCUGAUGUGUAAUUUUUAUAUGAACUUUGAUUUACUAAUGGAAUCAUUGAACAAAAACUUGAGACAUAAAAACAUGUUCCUUUAAAAAUAUAUAUUAAUUCAAAAUGUCUACUCAGAGUAACACAUUUUUUCUUUCUUUGUCAGCUUACGGUAGCACGUCGUCUUUUCUUUGCUUAAUUUCUUUUGAAUUUCUUUUUUCUUUUUAGGUUAUCAUCAUUUUUAUUAUCUUUGUUUCGAAUAAUGGAAAAAAAAAUGUUGCUAAUUUGAGUACAGAAGAUGGUGAAGAGGGGGCUUGACAGUUUUCUUAUGGAGUUGAUUUGUAGAAAAAGGCAUAUGAGUUCAGCCUUGUUGGUUGUUUUCUUACGACAAGUGUGAAACAUCUUGCCGCGAUGCGAAAUACAAUGGCAGAUCUCUAGCAUCCAUUAAGGGGGUUCUAAUUUCAAAUUUGGGGGGAAAUGUUUUUGUGAAAAAAUAAAAUAAAAUAAAAUAAAAUAAAUAAAGAACAAACAAAUUUUACGUGGAAACCCUUUCGGGAAAAAAACCACGGGCAGAGGAGAAGAAAAUUCACUAUGUCGAAAAAUUUGAAUCAAAUACAAGAAGAAUAGACUAUGUCUAUUUAUAGGCUUGCAAAGCCAUAUUCUAGUAGGAUUGAAAGACCUUAUCCUAAUCAAUAUAAAAUAGAUAGAGUUUAAUAAGGUUUAAAAACCUUAUUCUGAAAAUAAAAUAAAAGAAGUCUAGUUCUAUAUGGAUUUGACUUUUAUUUUAUUUUCCAUCGUAUUUUAUUUAAAUAAGAAUUUGGGUCACUUAAUUCUAACAAUCUCCACCUUGACACAAAUUCUCAAUGAACAAGUUCUUCAUCGCGAACUUUCAAUAAACAAGUUCUCCACCUCUUCCAUAAAACCCCUUAAGGGUUUAACUUCAACAAUGAACACCAACCAAGUCUAAGCAAUGCUCAAACUUGGUUAUAGGAAGUGACUUAGUCAUCAUAUCUGCAGGAUUUUCAUGAGUACUAAUUUUGCUCACAACAAUAUCACCACGAGCAAUAAUAUCAAGAACAAAAUGAUACCGAAUAUCAAUGUGUUUUGUUCUCUCAUGAAACAUUUGAUCUUUUGUAAGAAAGAUGACACUCUGACUGUCACAAAAUACUGUGCUGAUUUGAAGGUCUUCAUUGAGUUCACUAAAUAGUCCCUUCAACCAAAUAGCUUCUUUACAAGCCUCAGUAAUCACCAUGUACUCAGCUUCAGUGGUAGACAAAGCGACUGUAGUUUGCAAAGUGGCUUUCCAACUAAUUGCACAACCUCCGAUUGUAAAGACGUAACAUGUGAGAGAUCUUCUUCUAUCAAGGUCUCUAGCAAAAUCAGCAUCAACAUACCCUAUAACUCCAUCUUUAGUUCUUCCAAACUGUAAGCAAACAUCAGUAGUGCCUCGUAAGUAUCUUAAAAUCCACUAAACUGCUUUUCAAUGUUCUUUACAGGGAUUUGCCAUAUAUCUGCUAACUGCACUGACUGCAUAUGAUAAAUCUAGACGUGAACAAACCAUAGCAUACAUGAGAAAUCCCACUGUACUAGAGUAUGGAACAUGUGACAUGUACUCAAUCUCAUCAUCUGAUUGAGGAGACAAGGCCGAUGAAAGUCUGAAAUGGGCUGCUAAAGGAGUACUAACAGGCUUAGCACUCUGCAUAUUGAACCUGCAAAGAACUUUCUCAAUGUACCCCUUCUGACUUAGGUACAAUUUACUUGCUUUUCUAUCUCUGAGAAUCUCCAUACCAAGUAUCUUCUUUGCUGGUCCUAAAUCUUUCAUCUCAAAUUCUUCACUUAGUUGGGCUUUAACCUUUCUUAUCUCUCAUUUAUCUUUUGUUGCUAUCAACAUGUCAUCAACAUAAAGAAGUAGAUACACAAAAGAACUAUCACUAUUUUUCUUAAAGUAAACACAACUGUCUAAACUACUUCUUUUGAAAUCAUGAGAAGUCAUAAAGGAAUCAAACCUCUUGUACCACUGUCUUGGUGACUAUUUCAAACCGUAAAAGGACUUUCUUAGCAAGCAAACAUAGUCCUCUUUUUCUGAGACUAUAAAACCCUCUGGUUGUUGCAUGUAAAUAUCUUCCUCAAGUUCUCCAUGCAGAAAUGCAGUUUUUACAUCUAACUGCUCAAGCUCCAAAUCAUGCAUGGCCACAAUACCAAGCAAAGCUCGAAUCGAACUAUGCUUAACAACUAGAGAGAACAUAUCUGUGAAGUCCACUCCUGGAAUUUGACUGUAACCCUUUGCAACAAGCCUUGCUUUAUAUCUGGGUUCUUCAACUCCUAGAGUCCCUUCUUUCUUUUUAAACACCCAUUUACAACGAACAACCUUUUUACCUUUAGGAAGUUUCACAAGGUCCCAUGUUCUGUUUUUAUAGAGUGAUUCCAUCUCUUCUUGCAUAGCAAACAUCCACUUUUCUGAGUCUUCACAGCUAACCGCCUCAGAAUAAUUAGAUGGCUCUUGAUUCGCAUCUAUAUCUUCAGCCACAUUUAAAGCAUAAGCAACUAGAUCAACCUCGGUAUACUUCUUUGGAGGUUUAAUUUCUCUUCUAGUUCUAUUUUUGGCGAUAGAGUAUUGUGGUGAAGAAGCAACUCUAUUCUCAAUUUUUGUUCUGGCUUGAGGAGUUGACUCUGUAUUAAUCUGAUGCUCCACCAGCUUUUGAUUUUCUUUAUUGGAAGAGUUUUUAAGAGAUAAGUUAGGUAGCAUAGCAGUUUCAUCAAAAACAACAUCUCUGUUAAUCACAACUUUUCUAUUUUCAGGACACCAUAACUUAUACCCUUUUACACCAGCUUUAUAACCAAGAAAAAUGCAUUUAAUAGAUCUCGGUUCCAAUUUUCCAUUAUCAACAUGAGCAUACGCAGGACACCCAAAAAUCUUUAAAUCAGAAUAAUUAGCAGGAUUAUAAGACCAUACCUCUUGUGGAGUCUUUUUCUCAAUGGCAACGGAUGGAGAUCGGUUGAUCAAAAAACAUGCAGUAGAGGCUGCUUCUGCCCAAAAUGCCUUCGGUAAGUUGGCAUUUGACAACAUACAUCGAACCUUCUCUAUGAUCGUUCUGUUCAUUUGUUUUGCAAUGUCGUUUUGCUGUGGAGUAUGACGAACUGUCAAGUGUCUCAUGAUCCCUUCUGACUUACACAAUCUAUUAAACUCAUCAGAACAAAACUCUAAGCCAUUAUCUGUGCGGAGGUAUUUUAUCUGUUUUCCCUUCUGUUUUUCAAUCAUAAUUUUCCAAGACUUAAAUGCAGAAAACACAUCGCUUUUCUACUUUAGGAAAAAUGCCCAAACUUUUCUGGAAAAAUCAUCAAUAAAGGUUAGCAUAUAAUUAGCUCCACCUCUCGAAGGUACUCUAGAUUACCCCCACAGAUUAGAAUGAAUAUACUCCAACGUUCCCUUCGUGUUAUAGAUUCAUCUAGUGAAUCGAACUCUCUUUUGCUUCCCAAAAACACAGUGCUCACAGAAAUUCAGUUUGCAAAUUCCUUGCCCAUUAAGAAGUCCUCUUUUGCUUAAUUCUGCCAUGCCAUUCUCACUCAUAUGCCCUAGGUGCAUAUGCCAAAGUUUAGUAAUAUCAUCAUCUGACAAGGAAGAGGAAGCGACAGCUGCAUCACCAGUAACACUAAAACCCUGUAAAACAUAUAACUUGGCAAUCUUUCUCUGCCCUUUCAUCACAACAAGGGACCCUUUGGAAAUCUUUAAAACCCUACUUUCAGCUGUGUAUCUGUACCCUUUUGAAUCAAGAGUACUCAAUGAAAUUAAAUUUCUUUCCAAUUCUGGAACAUGCCGCACGUCACUAAGUGUUCAGACAACUCCAUCAAAUAUCUUAACUUUAAUUGUUCCAACACCUGUGAUUUUACAUGAAGCAUUAUUUCCCAUCAAAACAACACAUUCAGAUACUGUUUCGUAAGUUGUAAACCAAUCCCGAUUGGGACUCAUGUGGAAGGUGCAGCCUGAAUCAAGUAUCCACUCCUCGCUUACUUUAAAAUCAUUGACAGAAGCGACUAGAAGUUCACCAUCGCUGUAGUCUUCUACAAUAUCAGCUUCACCGAAAUUUUCUGGUUGAUUUCCCUUUUGAUUCGCAGCCUCCCUUUUUCUGGUUGUUUCCCUUUUGAUUCGCAGCCUCCCUUUUAAUCUUAUUUUGUAGCUUAUAGCACUCAGAUUUAAUGUGCCCUUCCUUCUUGCUGAAGUUGCAAGUUUUACAUCUAUUUGAAGACUUCGAUCUACCCUUAGAUUUACCACGAGGAUUUCGUUCCUGUGUCCUACCACGAUCAUCAUCAGUAUUCUGAUCUUGUCUCCUACGAACAAUGAGACCCUCUCCUUGAGAGUCGGGUUUAACCACAAGAUGCUUCAUCUUAUCAUACGAGGUUAAAGAAUCAUAAACCUCAUCAACUGUGAGAGACUCGCAGCUAUAUAAAAUCGUGUCUCUAAAGGUUGAAUAAGACGAGGGCAACGAACCUAGAUCUUCCUUGUCAUACUGAACCUCCAUGGCCUCCAAGUUUGAGAGAAUUUCUUUAAACACUGUUAAGUGUUCGUGUACAGACGCACCUUCCUCCAAACGAUAAGCAUAAAGACGCUGCUUCAUAUGCAACUUGCUUGUUAGAGUUUUCGACAUACAUAUUUGUUCUAGCCUCUUCCAUAAUGCAGCGGUAGUUUUCUCUUUCAUCACAUCCUGCAAAAUUUUGUUAGACAAAUGCAGAUGUAAUUGUGUUAAUGCCUUUCGAUCCUUACGCUUCUUCUCUUCAUCUGUUAAUGUCGAAUGCAUCUUAUCUAUCCCCAGCAGGGCAUCCUCCAGAUCCAUCUGUGCAAGAACUGCUUGCAUAUUAAUUUGCCACAACGUAAAUCUGGUGUUGCGAUCCAACAGCGAAAUUUCAUACUUCAAAGACGUAAUUACCGUGAUCAAGAUGAAUAACCCGGAAGCUCGGAUACCAACUUUUGAAAAAAUAAAAUAAAAUAAAGAACACACAAAUUUUACGUGGAAACCCUUUCGGGAAAAAAACUACGGGCAGAGGAGAAGAAAAUUCACUAUGUCGAAAAAUUUGAAUCAAAUACAAGAGGAAUAGACUAUGUCUAUUUAUAGGCUUGCAAAGCCAUAUUCUAGUAGGAUUGAAACACAUUAUCCUAAUCAAUAUAAAAUAGAUGGAGUUUAAUAAGGUUUAAAAACCUUAUUCUAAAAAUAAAAUAAAAGAAGUCUAGUUAUAUAUGGAUUUUACUUUUAUUUUAUUUUUCAUCAUAUUUUAUUUAAAUAAGAAUUUGGGUCACUUAAUUCUAAUAGUUUUUUAUUCAAGUUUUUUUAUGAGCUUGAUAUAGAUCGAGUGAUCAAUGACACCCCAUAGACGUUCACUAAUCACCUUUUGGUAUUUCAUCGAUUAAAGGAGGAUGAUGAUUCGAUGCAAGUCCCCCUGGUUUUAUCGUCUUUCUGGGUUCAAGUAUAUGAUUUACCUCCUUGAUUAUUUUCUGAAAAUGCUGCUAAACAAUUUGGAAAUUUCAUUAGAGCUUUUGUGGAGUAUGACUCAAAAACAGCAAAGUCGUGGAUACAAAAACUUUAUAAGGAUUCGAGUUCAAGUAGAUGUUUGUCUUCCAUUAAAGAGACAAAAGAAAAUAAAGAUUUCUCAAUCAAACUUUUCUUCAAUCAGGAAAGUUCCAGUGAAUUAAAUGAACCCCAUUUGAUCAGUUGACCUCUAUGGGACGGACUAUGUACAUUCAUCACAGACUUUGAUCCAUAGCUCAUGACACUUACAUCUACUUGCCCUAGUAUUCUAAUCCCUAUGUUACUCCCUGUUUUUUUCGCUUGUUCAUCUUGCAACCGUAUCAUAGAACCUCUAAGCAAUUGAAACCCUAUUGAUAUAAAGAUUAACAUUUAUUGAAGACUCUAAAUGAAAAGGAAAUUUCAAGAAAUAAAUAAAGGGGAAAUUUACUAGAAAAAAUAAAUCCAUCGGCUAACUUAAAAAAGAGAGAAAAAACUAGCAAAGUUUAUAAAAAAAAAAAGAAAGAAAAAAAAGCAUUAGAAGCAAGAUUUAGGCAAAGAUAAAUAACCCAAAAAAAUUAAUAAAACUAUUUUAGGUAACUUAGUUUGAUUUUGAGUCAUUUGGAAAUUUAAAAGAAGGGAAAGAAAAGGAUAUUUUGGUGCCUUUGUUGUCAGGCAAAUGUCACCAAAGUAGGGGGUUGACAACAAUGACCCUGCAAACGAAAAAGUUUUUUGGAGAAGAAGAAAGAAAAGUGUGACAUCCCACACCUGACCCAAUCGUUGGGUUCAAAUACAAUAUAUUAAAUUUGUUUCCAGAACAACUCAAACUAACUUUGUACUUUGAAUUCGAUAAGAAAAUUUCAAUAGAUCGUUUAAAUCAAAUCAUUACCAAAUUGUUAAAAUUCAUAAUUAAGAUUUUUAAAACAAUUUAGAAACAUUUUAAGACGAUUUCUAAGUGUUCAGAGGUAUCUAGCGCCAAGUACGGGAUCCUAAGGAUUUAUUUGCAACAAAAAAGAGUAGGUACCUUGUUAGAGGCUUAGGUAUUGGUACAUGUGGUCUUAGGUAUUGGUACCUAGCCUAGUUAUUAUAGGGAUUUGUAUUUUGUCUUCUAAGUACAACUACCUAGAGAAGGGUACCAAACCCAUAACUCAUGCAAUUAACAAUUAACCCUAUAACUACUUAUUUUGACCUUAGACACUAUAACCGUCGAUGCGCGUAUGUCGAAAUAUGAAAACAUAUAUGAAUUGAAGUGUGGUGUGUACUACAAGUGUACAUGUCAAAUUGUAAAUAUAUGUGUUACAAUGGAACACUGGAAGUAUUCCGAGGAUCGAACACAAAGGAAAUUGAGCAAUGUAAAGCAAAGAAUAAAACUAGCAUGCAAGAGAAAGGCUAACGAAUUAUUAAGGCAAAGAAUUAUUACUGUAGUCCAAAACAAAUGUGUAACAGCCCGAUUUUCAGUUGUGACAGAAAAGUGGUUUUGGGACCACAAAUUUAUGUUGUAUCAACUCGUAAAUAUUAUUUUUAGAAUAUUUAUAAAGUCAUUAUAACCGUAUUAAAAUUUAGUUUAGAAAUAUUAACGUUUAAAUAGUUAAUUAAAGAAAAAGGACUAAAUUGAAAAAGGUGCAAAAGUUAGUGAUUAAUUUAAUUAAAUGACUAAAUAGCUUAAUAACUACAUGAGGAGGGACCAAUAUAGUAAUUAGUCCCUAAUAGUUAGUGUUGGACGAUUAAACCAAAAGAAAAUGACAAAAAGAAAGUGAUUUUUAAUGGCAAAAUGGUAAUUAGGUUAAAAUAAUAAUAAAACAAAAGUGAAAUUUUCAUCAUCUCUUUAAUUUUGUUCUUGAUAACCGAAUGCCAUGGAUGUUUAACUUGGGAGAAUUGGCCAAGCACAAAUUCUUUGCAUGUGAGUGAUUCUUAAGCCCGUUUCUUAUAAUUUUUAUGUUUUGGAGAUCGUUGCAAAUAGGUCGAGUUAGACCGUACCUUUGUGUUUUAUUCUGUUAAAAAUUUUGGAAGUUUCCAUUGUUUAAUAUUGGAUUUUUUUGAUGAAUAUCAUGUAUUUGGAGCUUUGAUUAUGUUGUGUGAUGAUUUUGUAAAGUGAUUUUUGUUAAAUCUUGAUUUUUAGGAUUAAAUUGUGAAAAUGUCAAAAUAUUAGGGUUUGACAGUGAAUUUUAAGUUUAUUAGGGGCUGUUUGAGGGCUUAGAAUAUUUGGAUAGAUUAUUGAUUUGAGAAAAUUAGUUAAUUUGAUGAAUUUUUAGUUAAUGGACUAAAUUGAAAAAAUGUAAAAGUUUGGGUAAUUGUGUAAAUUUAAAAAGUAAAAGGUAUUAAUUGUAAAAUAGAUUGGAAAUGAAAUACGUGCUAAUAAAUGAGUAAUUUUAUAUUUUAGAUCAAGAUCCCAUAGAUACUUGUGGAAAAGGAAAAAUAGUGGAAUAGUCUCUAAACUUCUGCAAUUACUACAAUUCAGUCCAGGUAAGUUCAUAUGGUUAAAAUUCAACAUUUGUAUAAAUUGAUGAUUGAUAUUAUGUAUAUAUUCUAUUGUUGGAAAUGAAUUAUUGUUUGAAUUAUAAUAUUGAAUUGGAUAUUCGGUUUGAAUUGAACACGAGAUUUGAGUCCAGGUAAGUUCGUACUGGUUUGGGAAGACUAGCUAUUAUGAGCUUUUGUUGACGAUGUACUCUUACCCAUUAGUUAUUCUUCGAAUGGAAAAUCUCGGUAAGGUGAUUUAUCUAACGAAUUUGAAAGAUAUGUUAUUUAUUUUGUAUUGAUUUGAAUACGGAUGUAUUUAUUGAUUGAAGUUGUGAAUGAUAGGGAGUUCUCUUGGAUGAGUUUAUUGUUUGAUUUAUUAUAAUUAGUUCAGUAAGAUUUUUUUUAACUUGUCAAACUUACUAAGAUUCAUUAAGCUUACUUGUGUUGUUUAUUGUCAUUGUAAAUUUUCGGAAGGUUGGACGAUCGGAUCGGCACUCAAGUCACACUAUCCAGUUUAUCUUGGUAGUUUUUGAAAUGUUUAAAUUUAGAUUAUAUGGCAUGUAUAGGCUCUUGUGCUAUUUUGGUUAAUGUUUGGUUUAUGUAAACGUUAUGAAUGAUAUUUUGUGCAAAUAACCAAUUUGUAAAUGGUAUGAGAAUGAGGUAUAGUUGUUAUGCUAUUAUGUGUGGUUUAUAUAUAUUUGAAUUGUUGUGAUUGUGGUAACUUAUUAGGUAUAUUGAUUUGGUAUUGCUUGAAUGAGUUGAUGAAUUGAAUUAAUGUGUAUUUUGAGGUAAAGUUGUAUAUAAUUGUGGUACCAAUGAGGGUACAUUGGUUAGGCACAUAUUAGGUUGGUUUUGAUGUAUUUUUAUCCUAUUAAUGUCAUUUUGAUUUGGUAUUUUGGUUAGUAUUUGAGUUUCUUAAGGUCCAAGAAAUUUGAAAUGGUAAACUUGUAGUUUUAAGGUUCAUCUUAAGGCUCCACGACCUGAGACACGGCGCGUGUCUCAGCCGUAUGCCUUCUGUAGGUUCAAGGCAUGUAAGUCAGGCUGUUACAAGGUCUAGCACACGGCCUGACACACGAGCGUAUUAGAUCAUUUUGAAGGGUACACGGCCUAGCAUACGGGCGUGUGACUUGGCCAUAUGACCCAAGUCAGUGAGUUACACGGGUACAGAAACGGACUGGACGCGGUCAUGUGUCCCUAUUUCGAAUGUUCACACGGCAUGAGACAUUGGCAUGUGUCUCAAUCGUGUGAGUCACACGGCUGUGUGACCUCUACAGUCCAAAAUUUUCAACUUUUCCUAAAAUUUACAUUUUCGAUUUAGUCUUGGACUGUUUCGAUAGUAUAUUUAGGGCCUCGAGGGCUCGAUUAAGGGACAUAAUGGAUGUAUUUGAAUGAAAUUUGAUUAUAUUUAUAUUAAUGUAUGAUUUGAUUGGUUUAAUAUUUCAUUUUUUCGAUAAUACUCUGUAACUCUGUUCCGGCGACAGAUACGGGUUAGGGGUAUUACAAAGUGAUUGUCUAAAAAUUAAUAAAAUUAGUUAAACAUAAAAACUUUCAAUUAACGAAAAACAAUAUCGAUUAAUUUUCAUAUUAGCAAUGAAUUUAGUCUUAAGGACUCAAAUGACAAUUUCCUCACUCAACAAAUUUUACCUCAAGGUCUCAAUUUAAUCAAAUAAAAGAACUUAAUCGAAUUACCCUCUCGGUCUCACUCAAUUAAAUUGAACUAAAUCAAUUUUUAUAUUUAUGUCCUUUCUUGGCAAAAAAUUUUCAUACAAAAAUUUUCAUUUAUAUAAUUUUCAUCAAAAUAGAAAGAUUGUGAUUUAGACCUUGUGCUCUUCACUUUUAUUUUACUUAGUUCAAUCUUGACUUCCUUCAUACUAAUGGGUACUUCAUAUCAUUUAUUUUCCCACCAAAUAAUCGCCAUUGACCAUCUUUUCUUUAUUUGGUAAAUUUUCACUUUGGCCUCCCUUUUUCUAACUCUUUCAAUUUAGUCUUUUUUUUCUACUAUUUCAAACUCACACUCAUACUCACUAAUUUUUUUCUCUAAAUAUAGAACCAACUUAGUAAGAAUAUUCAUUUAAUAACUCAUUUCAAAUUUUCCUUAAAUUUUCACUAUGCACACUUUUGGAAUAGUACCAUUCACUGCACCAAGAACUUUAGGCAUUACAAAACCUCUCAAUAGGAUUUCUAGUGAGGGUAAAUUGACCUAUACAAUAAUGGUGGAAGAGUGGUUAAGCCUCCUUACUUAUUGCUUCUAUUAUCUACAUACCAUGCAUAAGAGCUCACUGAAUAUAUUAGGUGUUGACUCUGAUACUAGUUGUAAGUAUGUCUCAUAUUUUUUUUGGUAAUUGUAGUGGGCACAAAAUUGUAAUAACACAAAAAAAAACUUGCACAAGUCAAUUAAUAACACAACUUUGUAAACCAUCAACAUCUAUAGGGCCUUUCUAAGAGAAGCCCAACCUCGACACUCUCAAGUUGUAAUAUCACUUUUGUACAUAUGAAGUGAAUUCUCUAAACUACUUUUCAAACAAUAUAAGUGUAACUUAGUCUCUUAAUAAUGAUAUUAACUAUGACAUCCCUAAUUUGACUCUAGUCGAGAAGUGGUUUCGGGACCACAAAAUCGAGUCACAAGAAUAAUUAAAUGUUAUAUUUUAUGCCUGCUAUAAGUGAAAGUGUAUGUGUGAAAAUUUUAUGCUUUGAUUUUGUCUUUUAAAUGUGAAAUUAAUUAGAAAGGACUUAUGUGUGAAACUUUGGAAAUGUGAUAGGUUAAAUGGUAGUGGGCAAAUAAUGCAUGGUGGAAAAAAAUGUAGACUUGCAUGUCAAAUUCCCCACUUUAGAGGAAGUGGCCGGCCAUGAUGGUAUGGGAUACAAAAUAUAUGCAUUUUGUAUUAAUAUUAUAAUGACUACAUGGUUUUAUAAUAGGAAAUAAGUAUUAGAAAAAAAAGGAAAGCCAUACAUCCUUGCCUUGUUCUUGCCGAAUGUUUGAGAAAGAAAGAAGAAAUAUGCUUUGAGGAUUUCGGCAAUAUAGCAAGCUAAAAAUUUAAGGUAAAUUUCAUGUAGUUUUUGUUAAUUUUUAAUAGAUGUGUGAUCCUUGUUUAAUUAGUCUUAAAGCCCAUAUUGAAAUUUUGAUUUCGGUUGAGGUAUGUGCAUUCGGUCAUAGAGAAAAUUGAAUCAAAUUUGGUUGUUUGUCUUAAUUAAGGAGAGAAAUGUAUGAAUUUAUAAUUAUAAGUGACUAAGUGGUAAAAUAUUGGGUUGGAGGGACUUGUAUGUGAAGAGAUGGCAUUCGGUUGAGAGUAUCUUUGACAAAUUUAGUUCUUGUUAUUUUGCAUGAACUUAGAUUAAUUUGUAAGGACUUGAAAAUACUAAGGAAUAUUCGGAUGAAGUGAAAUAGAUAAAAUGUUGAGUAAUUACAUGUUAAGGAUGUUAAGGCUUAAUUGUUAAUGUCCGAAUUUUAUAAAGGGGGCUGUUAUGCGAAUUAAUUUUAAGUUGUGUUAUUUUAUAUAUAUAAUCUAUAGGGUAAUGUUAAGUGGAUCAAUUGAUCGAUUAAAUAGUUGCUUUACUUUAAUUUAAGCUCAAGACCCAAAGAACCGAGAUUUGGAUCGAGAAAGGCGAAGUUAGCCGAGUAGUCGACACUAUUGUACGAAGUUGUCGAGGUAAGUUCUUAAGUAAUUUAAAUUCAAUUCGGUAUGCUUAGAAUUUGAAUAAACAUAGUAAGGUAAAAUGCUUGAUUAUAUAGAUGUAUAAAUAUAAUGUGAUGGAUAUAUGUUUGGAGAAAUGAUUAGAGCCGAAUGUGGCUAAAUUAUUAAUCCGAAAUAGACAUAGAAAUAUAAUAUGUUGCAUGUGUGUUUGAAUAAAUAAAUUGAGCCGAAUGUAGUUAUACUUUUUGAAUUGAAAUAGACAUUGAGACAAGGUGCCGAAGGUAUUUUUAAAUGAAAGGAUUGAUGAAAUUGAUGUGUAUCAAAGUAGUUGUGUUACGACUCAUACUAUGUGUAAUCUUAGCAAUGAGCUAAGUAGUGAAUGAUUGUAACAUCGGGCUAAAAGCCUAGCAGGCAUAUUGCCGGUGAUAUGAUUCAGGUUAUAAUUCUAGCAGGCUACAUGCUGGUAUGAUUUUUAGCGACUAAGAAUUGAUGUGUUAUUGAACAAGUUAAAAAUGAGUGUAAAGCCAAGUAUGAGUUAAAUUGUUAUUAAUUUGUAAUAAGGUACGCAUGUGAAUAGUUAUGAGAAUUUUUGUAUGUAAUUUAUGAUUGAAUGAUGGCUAUGAUUUAAAUGAUAUUGAUUUGGUAUAUCCAAUUGAAGGUAAGUUAUAUUGAAUUGGUGAAACAUAUAAGCCUAUAUUGAGUUGAUAUAUUUGUUUAUGUGGGGAAUUGAAUAGAAAUUUUAUAUUCGGUCAUAUGAAGUGUUUCAUUUAAUUAAAGGAUUGAAUUUCAUGUAAGGAUAUAUCGUAUAAAUAUAUGUAUAUAUAUGGUGAAUUGUAUAUACUUGGCCACAUAUGUAAGUAAUUAUAUGAUGGUAUAAUUGACCUUGAGUACUCGGUCAAGUUAACUCAAUGGGAUUAAAGUACGUCGUUAAUGUUUAAUUUGGCUACUAUGAAAUGAAAGUAAGAUCGAGAUAUGUUUGUAUGGCCGAAUGGUAAGUAUAAAUUGAAAGUAAUAUAGUUAGCAUGUAUAUAGCUGAAUGGCAGGUAUGAACCAGUUUGAUAUUUACUCAAUGUAAAGAUUAUUAUGUGAACUAGUUAAGUAUAUUGGGUAUUGUGAAUAGUACUGAAUGAGUCUUAAUUGUAUGCAUAUGUUAUAAUGUGUAUUAGGUUAUGUAGCUAAUUUAUGUAUGUGGAAAUAUAUGGUAUUACAUGAAUUUAUAUACUUGAAUGUAUGUGAACUAGAUUUAAUAACUAUUUGGCUUUAGAAGUUAAAAUAUAAUAUGUUAAUUUUGGCCACAUGAACAUGCGGUCUUAGUUAUAUAUGUGCAAAUUCAGUUAAUGGGAUGUUAUAUAAAAAUUAAACUAAAUAUGACAUUGAACGUUUACUAUUUCUUUGUAUUCGGCCCCUAGGUAAACAUUUAUGUGAUGAUAUAAAUGAGAUGGUAUAAAUGAUUACAUAGGUAAACAUUUAUGUGAUGUAAAGUUGGGGAUUGAACAUUCGAUAAUAGUAUAUGAUUGAGUAAAAGUAUAACGUCAUUGAUAAAAUCUGUUUCUUUUGAAAUGCUAAAAUUAUUAAUUCAAACUACAGGCCAGUAGGCUGUGUGCUGUUAUGAAUUCAGAUUGAUACUUAACAGGCUUAAAGCUGGUGAGUUAUAAGGAAUUGACGUUAAAGAGUUUUGAUGCUGAAGUGUUUUAUGAAUAUGAACAAUAAGCUAAAGGGAACAGGUAUGUUUUAGCAAGUUUAUGUUUGUGUUAUACUGUAAAUUAGUUAUUGAGAUUAUAGUGCAAAUUUCAUGAGAUGAAAAGAAAAAUUGUAACAUUUGCAGAAUUAAGUCUUAAACGUUUAUGAGCAUGUGAUUAAUUGAAUUAUGGUUAUAUUUUAUACAAGUAAAUUCGGCGAUGGUAGGAAUGUAAUUAAAUAACUUGUGAUGCAAGGUGUUAUAACUUUGAAAUUGAAAGUUAUUGAUAAUGUACAUGAAUAUAUUCGGCCGAAAUGAAAGUGUUUAAUAUAAAGUCAUGAUGUGUAUUAUAUAUAUACACAUUAAUGGAAGUUAUUAAAUUGUAUUUGUAUAAUAUUACGAACGCAUGGAAUUAAGUUGGAUAUUUGAGUUGAUAGAUAUUCAAAGUUAUGUUAAUAUAUAGAGUGUUGUUUUGCUUAAGACUUACUAAGCAUUAAAUGCUUAUUCCGUUUCUUUGAUUCUCUGUUUUAUAGAUUUUGGUUCGUCAACUAUCGGACUCGGGAGUGUCAAAGUCGAAGUCGUCCACACUAUCUAAACCACUUUUGGUACUCUUUUAGUUCAGUUUGAAAAUGGCAUGUAUAGGGCUGACCCUUGUUGUCAAUUGAGUACCCAUUUGUAAUGUAUAUUCGUAUAGCCAUGCGAAAAUGGCUCGUAUAUUUUGAAGUAAACAUCAUGGUCUUAUGGUAUGGUUAUUAAGUGACAUGGAAACUAUGAAAUAGGUGAAAUUUGCCUUAAAAUAGAUGCUGACAGCAGCAGUGUAGUAUGUUUGAAAAAUCACUAAAAAUAGAAGGAAUGGAAUUAAAUAGUGAAUAAAUUAGGUAAUCGAACCUUGAUGAAUCUAUUUUCAUAUUAAAGUAACAAAACGAUCAUAUGAGCCAUAUUUUAUGAGAUGUUUAAGUUUUCGUGAAACAGGGCCAGAUCGAUUUCUGGAUCCCCUGUUAUGACUUUGGAAAUUCACUACAAAUUAACCAGAGAUAAUUUGAAGUCAUGGCCUAUAUGUACAGAUUCCUUUUCGAGUCUAGUUUCUUUAGAAACAAACGGAAUAAGUAUUGAAGCCCUGUACAGGGAGAUAUCUAAGUCGUAAUGCAUGAAGGUCAGAGUAGUCGAACCCUGUAACAGGGGAAACUUUAACUAAUAAACUGUACUAAUUGGCCAGACCAAAAAUUCUAGAAAAAAAACUUGUAGAUGGAUAUAUGAGUCUAGUUCCAGAGAAA
rnacentral:lncRNA from 1 species